rnacentral:lncRNA from 1 species
GCAAGUCUCUUCAUAGGUCCGAACCAUUUCUUCGGGCGUGGGUUUCGGGUCUUUAGGAAACUCCAUAGUGAUAAGCCAGUGAUUGUAAUCGCAACCCUCGAACAGAAUCGUGUCGGGUGUGAUCUCGUCGCCGUCCUUAUACAAGUGGUACGUCUUGUUACCCGACGGCGUAGACGAGAGGGAGAUCGUCGGGGACGAUCUGAACGGCCGAGAUUGGACGAUGAUGGAGGAGCACGGGAUUAGCGAUGACGACGCCGAUGAAAUGGAAGGGUUUACGAGAGUAGAUGCGGAGAGUGCAGGGACGGCCAGAGAGAGAGAGCGUCGGAGAGCGGCGACGGCCGGUAGUGACCGGCGGAGGCGGAGGAUGGCGGUGUGGGCCAUUGCUUGCGCGUCAGUGAGUGUCUCGAGUGAGAGAGUGAAGGGUUUUGUUUAGGGUUUUGGGAAAUAUGAAAAAUGUAAAUGUUGGAUUUUGUUGCCAGAAACUUCUUCUGCCGCUGCUUUUUAUUUUCGCUAUAAAAAUAAUAAUUAUCAAAUAUUUUCUUAAAAAAGAUAAAUUUCUAGAUCAAAAUUUAUAUUAAAUCAAAUUGUAAAAAUGUGGAAUAGGGUUAAUUUCUCCUUGAUAUAUUUCAGAGUUGUAUUAUAGAUGUAUAUGUAUCUAGAUUGUAAUUAUAUUUUUAAAAAAUUAAAUUUUUAAUUAUUGCACAAUAAAUGUAGAAAGUAUCUAUAAAAUAAUAUUAUUAGGAUUACGAAAAGAUAUUAUUUUGGACAAGUUAUUUGUUUAUUAUUGAAUGAAUAAUUUAUUGAAUUAUUGAUAAAUAAAUAUUUAUUAAUUUAAAGAUUUUUUUUUUAGUUUUAAUAAAAGUUUUGUUGGGAAAUUUAUAAAAAUGGCCAUAAAACUUUUGUGUUUUUCAACUUUAAUCCUCUAAAGUUUUUUCUAUCAUAACUAGCCAAACACCCUAUGUUUGGACUGUAUUACCCUCAUCACUUUCAUCAAAUUUACAAAGUCAUGCCACUUUUUCAAUUCCAGUACAAGUAAAUACGGAUCUUCCUCAACAACUUAACAAACCUUCAUCACUCUCAACAAAUUUCAUCAUUCUCGAUAAAUCAAUUGCAUAAUUGAAUAUAUAAUCAUCAAUGGGAGAGCUUCUUAAAAUUAGUUUAUACUCUUACAUAAUGUAAACCUUUAAUCUAUUAAUUUUAUCAACUAAGUUCGAAAUUAAAGUGGGUUUUGUUGCAAAUAUUGUCAUUUUCCAUUCAUAAAACAAUGUGAUUUGUUAAAGUACUUAGUUUGAAUUGAGAAAUGAAGUAAAAUCAUUGAAAACACAGAAAAAUCGGGCAAAAAACGAAGUUCAGAACAAGUGAGACAUGCAAGUGGGACAGGUGCAUGUCUCACAUAAACGCACUGCAUUUAUGUGAGACAGGCACCUGUCCCACUGCCUGUCGCACAUAAACCCACGGAUUUUAUGGAGUACAUAAUUUUGGAUUUGAUUUGUCUCGUCGUAAGCUUCGAAACGGUAUAUUAUAUGCCUAAAACGGACAUAUAUAGCUCAAGUUAUGGCUUUCGAAACAUAUAUGAAAUUUAGUGAGACAGGCAAGUGGGACAGGUGCCUGUCGCACAUAAACGCACUGCGUUUAUGUGCGACAGGCACCUGUCCCACUGCUUUUCGCACAUAAACCCACGGAUUUUAUGGAGUACAUGAUUUUGGAUUUUAUUUGUCUCGUCGUAAGCUUCGAAACGGUAUAUUAUACGCCUAAAACGGACAUAUAUAGCUCAAGUUAUGGCUUUCGAAACAUAUAUGAAAUUUAGUGAGACAGACACCUGUCCCACUGCUUUUCGCACAUAAACCCACGGAUUUUAUGGAGUACAUGAUUUUGGAUUUUAUUUUUCUCGUCGUAAGCUUCGAAACGGUAUAUUAUACGCCUAAAACGGACAUAUAUAGCUCAAGUUAUGGCUUUCGAAACAUAUAUGAAAUUUAGUGAGACAGGCAAGUGGGACAGGUGCCUGUCGCACAUAAACGCACUGAUUUUAUGGAGUACAUGAUUUUGGAUUUUAUUUGUCUCAUCGUAAGCUUCGAAACGGUAUAUUAUACGCCUAAAACGGACAUAUAUAGCUCAAGUUAUGGCUUUCGAAACAUAUAUGAAAUUUAGUGAGACAGGCAAGUGGGACAAGUGCCUAUCUCACUAAAUUUCAUAUAUGUUUCGAAAGCCAUAACUUGAGCUAUAUAUGCCCGUUUUAGGCAUAUAAUAUACCGUUUCGAAGCUUACGACGAGACAAAUAAAAUCCAAAAUCAUGUACUCCAUAAAAUCCGUGAGUUUAUGUGUGAUAGGCAGUGGGACAGGUGCCUGUCGCACAUAAAUGCAGUGCGUUUAUGUGAGACAGACACCUGUCCCACUUGCAUGUCUCACUUGUUCUGAACUUCGUUUUUUGCCCGAUUUUUCUGUGUUUUCAAUGAUUUUUCUUGAUUUCUCAACUCAAACUAAGUACUUUAACAAAUCACAUUGUUUUAUGAAUGAAAAAUGACAAUAUUUGCAACAAAACCCACUUUAAUUUCGGACUUAGUUGAUAAAAUCAAUAGAUUAAAGGUUUACAUUGUGUAAGAGCAUAAACUAAUUUUAAGAAGCUCUCCCAUUGAUGAUUAUAUAUUCAAUUAUACAAUUAAUUGAAGGUUUGUUGAGAGUGAUGAAGGUUUGUUAAGUUGUUGAGGAAGAUCCGCAUUUACUUGUACUGGAAUUGAAAAAGUGGCAUGGCUUUGUAAAUUUGAUGAAAGUGAUGAGGGUAAUGUAGUCCAAACAUAGGGUGUUUGGCUAGUUAUGAUAGAAAAAACUUUGGGGGGUUAAAGUUGAAAAACGCAAAAGUUUUAUGGCCAUUUUUGUAAAUUUCCCAGUUUUGUUGGUAGACGCACAAACUCAUAAGGAAAUACAAAAAGUGCUUCCUCAAAUCAAUAAUAUUUACUUUAAUUCAUAAUAAUAUAACUUAAUUAGGAAACUUGUAAUUAUACUGUUUAUUUUUUUCUUUGUUCAGUUUGGUGGGACAAUGUGAUAAAUCAUUAGAUUAAAAUGCAUUUCUAAAUGCACUAAUUUUCUAGAUGAAUUUUUUCCUACAUGCUUGUUCUCAUAUGACCCAAAAUCCUGCUACAUCAGUUGUAUUAGAAAUUAAUCACGUGGGCUACAAUUCUGCAUCCCCACCAAUAUUUAAGCAAUCUACAGAAACAUUUCUUGAGGAAAGAAACUCACAUCGGCACUAGGCUUUCAAUGAGGCUCAUUUUUAUGAAUCUGGAUAGCAUUAGAUAUCUCUCCGAAUACUGGUGGGAGUAGAUCGCAGAUCUCUGGGCUAUACUACAAAGUGUACGUACGUUGACUCUCAAUAAAUACAAACGAUUCUCUGAUAUGAUUCAAAACAUCAGUGCAUGCAUCAUUUUAACGAGAGAGAAUAUUCUAAGAACGAAAUUGAAGGUGCAAUCAGCAGCUAAAAUGAAGCCAGAAAUGUACACGCAUGAGGAACGUUUCCUAGAAGAUUGAUAUUUCUUUGACUAGCAAACCAUACACGUCAAAGCUAGCCAAACCAUACUUGCAAGUCGGGGGUUUAAAUGGAGUACUUCUAAGCAUAAAACAUUGAUUAAAACAGAAUACACACAUACAUACCAGCAAAUUCAAUAUAGCAAAAGGAGUGCAAAAGUUCAUGUUUGUAGACAACAUUGCAACCAUGGCAUGUUUAUAGCAAAUCCUCGAAAUCUGCUAAAUAAAACAAUGCCUUGUCUCAUGAAUCAAUGCUGAAUUAAAAUUGAAACUGAAAGUCCGGCUGGCGUUGUUUCCCUCUCCAAUUUUGCCUACAUAAGUGAAAAUAAGAAUAAUAAAUGAAAAUCUGCUUUUACAGUUCUUAUUAGAUAGAUAAAAGGGGGAUCUUUCUUUGUUUCUCUGCUGCAAUGUGUGGCUAUCCCACUCUGUUUUGCCACCCAAGCUGAGUCUAUGUUGAGACAUAAUUUUGACAUCAGAAGCAAUCUCAAUUAGUUUGGCACUUUUAUGACCUCCUUGAAGGUUUUACGAUAAACAUAAAUCUACUGAGAAAGUGGGAAAAAAAAGAAAAUGCAUAUAAAAAUAUGAGUUAUCAGAUAAGAUUAAAACUCACCCAAUUCAAUCCAUCAGAUUCCGUAAGGAUAUAACUGGAUGUCAUACCGCCACUCCAUAUCCUUGAAAGUCCGUAGUGUUUGUCUCAACUCUGUCUGAGGCCAAUGUAAAUUCAAUUUGCGCAAGCUCUUUAUGCACCACAGCUCUUCUGGAAGCUUUCUCAAGUAAGCACAUGGGUUGACAAUUAAGCUUUCAAGUUUCGGCAUUGCUCCAGCCCCCAUCGUCCACUCAUCUAGCCAAUACAUUGAUUUCAGGUGCAAAACCUUAAGUUCGGGAAAGCUACUCAAGCCAACACAAGCAAGCUUUCUUCCUAAAUACGAGUUCUGCUUCAGUUUCAGCACUCGAAGGCGUGGAAGAUUUUCCAGAAUUGGCAUGGGAUCCUCCAUUAGCUUAGUAUUUGAUAAGCUCAGUUGGAUCAGACUUGGGGGAAAUUGGUAUUCAGACAGGACCAUCCGUGAGGGCUUGCUCUCAUUCACCAGCUUCAAGCAUUCAAGUUUGUGGAGUUCGCAAAGGCUUUUGGAAACCCCAGACUGAUAGUAACUCAAAUCUCCAGAUAUCCGAAGAGUCUGAACACUAGGUAGUCUGCCCAAUAUAUCAGGAGUACAACUACUAGGGUUUAAAGCUGAUAUGAAAAUGAGAUUUUUCAGAGAGCUAGAAUAAUUUUUUGGAGGUGCGGGCAGAGUGAUAGAACCAAAGUUUAGAUGCAUGAGUUUUUGCAUCAUCCAAAUAUCCUCUGGUGAAUGAUCUAUGUCGCUAGAUGGCAUUUCUAGUGUUUGAAGGUUUAAAAGGGUGCAUAGCAUUGAAGGAAGGCAUUUGAGCGAAGGGAUAUUCAAUUUCAAAUACUUCAAAAGGAAUAAAUUUUCUAAUCCGGGUGGAUAUUGGUCCAGGACUGCAGAACCCAUGUUCAGUACCCGAAGGUAUUUGAACAUUUUACAAAAGUUCUCGCAAUCUAUCAGAGCGAGACGAUCGCUUUCUGAACUGUGAUUCAGAAAAGAUUGGAGAUACAUGUCAGAAUGUUCUAGAGAAAGGAACUCAAUCAGACGUUCCACAAUGAAGCACCGUUUAACAUUUGCCGUUGAUUCCUCUUCCAUGUCAGGCGUCCAGACAAAUCCCGCCUUCUUUGCCAACAAUAACAAUGAAGUAAAUACAAAACUUGGAACAUAACACGCUUUAAUUGUGCCGCCGGCGCUUCUCUUACUCACUUGAAUGAAGCCGCGAUGGAUUAGUUCUUUCAAGUAAUGUUCGGCAGUUUCUUCACCGUUGUAUGGUAUGAAACCUUCAGCUACCCACAAAUGAUAUAAUUGCCUCGUGGAUAUCUCAAUGCCUGGAAGGAAGACACACAAAUAGAUGCAGCAGAUUUUCAAGUGAAAAGGUAACUCCAACACAGAAAAAAUUUGUCUCCAAACUGUCGGAAUCGCUUCGCCUUGAACAUAAUUUUCCAAUGGCAUACUUCCAUAGUGUAGGAUGAAAAAUUGCCAGGCUUCAUGCUUUAAUCUGAUCAAUGGUCCUCCAAUGAGCACUGAAUCAAGCCGAAUCUUCUCUCCGUUUUCCAUUUCCAGCGACGCAAGGAGGUCUGGAUCAGUGACCAAUAUCAAUACUCUGCUUCCAUUCUGAUCAUCUGGAAGAAGUUCUAAAACAUCACUCCAUAUCUCACUGUCAUCGAAGACAUCAUCAAGCACAAUAAAGUACUUCUUGUUUGUUAGGUAAUCUCGAAGAAUAGAUUUCUUCAAUUGAUGCUCUUCACCGAUAAUUACACUAACCCGAGCUGGAGGCAUCACAGACUUGAUUAUGCCAUCCAAUAUCUUGCCGUAAUCAUAGCUUAGAGAAACCCUGACCCAAGAAAGACAGUCAAAAUAGAACUUGACAUGGUUAUUAUUAUAAGUAUCUGCAGCAAAAGCAGUCUUAUCGAAGCCACUGCUGUCGAGAAUUGCAACCACUGAAAGCCCAGAUGGUCCCUCAAUCAAUAGAUCAAAAAACUUCUCUCUGCCCCUUUCAAAUUCACUGAUAUCGAGCCGAGGUUGUCCCUCAUUCAAUAGGCGAAUGAUUUCGUUACUUUUUUCACUGAUAUCAAAACCAUUGUCGCCGGGUGGAAGUUGUUGCAUCCGAUUUCUAAUAUCAAUGAUUUUAGUGUGGAGUCCAACAAGAAGAGCCAUAUCAGUACUGCUUUCACUUUCGUUUUCACUGUUUUGCUGCUGCAUUAUGUUGAUGAAGAAUCUGUCAAUGGCUUCCUCAGAUUCAUGGACAACGGGAUUGAUGUCCUCCAGAAUUUCCAAAAUAUCUGCUGUUUCAACGUCUUCUUCAUCGCUUUCUUCUAAGUCCAACAGUUGCAAAAAAGGCAAUGAUAUUUUAGAGUCAUCCAAAUCUUCUGUAAGGAGUUGAAACAAAUGCCGAGCCAUGUCAGCUUCAUAUUUUCCCAGCAGAGUACUAGCAAUAAUUUCGGACUCCGUAAGAAGGUUUUGACAAAGUGGAGUUAAAUUUGUUGAAUCUGGCAGCGGCAACGUGCCUUCUUCACCUGCUAACACCCUCUCCAACCUCUCACAAAACAGUCGGAGGUGGACGUCCAGCAUAUCUCCUUCUCUCCGCAGCACUCAGAGGUAUAGUUGAAAGAUUAAACACCAUGGAAGAAUUUGAAAGGAAAAUGCCAAGAAACUGUGUAAGUGGCUAAAUUCCACAAAUGCGGCAUUAUUGCUCAUUUUUUAACUCAAAAAAUUGAUACGCGUUCAUUUAGAGAAAAGUCCAAGACGCGUGCCUUUUGAAAAGAACAGGUAUCCCAAUCGGUAUACAACCUUUAUCUUAUUUAAUUACUACCAUGACAUAAUUGAUGGUGCUUAAAUCAAUUGUUUCUUUUUUAAUUUAAAGAAUUUUUCAUUAAAAAAAUAUUUUAAUAUCAAAUUGCCUUCAGUGGCGUAACUGCCUCAAGCCCAGUAACAGGACUAAUUAAAAAUUUUACAAUUUUUGGGCAUGGAAAUAAUAGUAUUAAACGUUAGAAAGGUGAGGUUGUUCUGUUAAAGAAUUGAUAUUGACAUAAUUUUAUUUUGGUUUUCGUGGAAAACAAAAAUUUGUUGACAAGCAAGAAAGUAUUUUUAUAUUUUAAAAUUUAUUAUGCAUAUUUUAUCAUAUUAAAGUAGUUUUAAUAAUAAAUAGAAACAUAAUAUUACGAUAAAUAAAUUAAAAUUUAACUUAUUUUGAAUAUUAUAAAAAAUAAUUUUAAUAUUAUUAAUAGGAAGACAUUUUGUUAAUUUUAAAAUUUUUUAACCCAAUGGUUUAUUUAAAAUCUUUAUUAUAAAUACAAAUAUAAAAUUAAAUAUCAUAAUUUAAAAUUUUUAAUAUUAUUUUAAGUAUUAAAAAUAUUUUAAUGUUAUUAGUCUACUACAUAGAUCAUAUUACUUAUAUAAUAUUUGUAUUAUUAAAAAUUCUUAAAAUCAAAUUUUUAGUUAGUAUAUUCAUGAGGUAUUAUGGUUAAAAAAAAAAGACCUUAUUGUUACUUUUUAAAAAAUUGAGGGCCUGCGUGAUAAUUUUUUCAAAAAGAAAAUGUAUCUAGGAGGGGGAUCCAGGUAGGGUACCACUGUGGUACCGUACCACGGGUUUUGUCUUUUGUGCCAGUAAUGUUGUAAAAUUUCAUUGAACCCCUUUCAUUUAUUUUUAUUUAAACUUUACCUCAUAAAUAUUAAAUUAAUUUCUAUUGCAUCCAUAUAAACAUUAUAAUAAGCACCUUAUACUAUUUGUUAUUUAUACAUUUUUCUUCUAUAUUGCACCUUUAUCACAAUACCCCCUCUUUAUCAAAAUACCGGCGAACCCGACCCGAAUUUCGUUUCCAUUUCCGUCCAUGCCACCGGCCAAGGUUGGUACCGAUCGGAAGAUCGUGCGACGCCGGUCAUCUCCACGCCAUCAUUGUCGCAAAAAUAACAAGGUCAACCCGACCCUCGAACCAGACCCGGAUUUUGUUUCCGUUUCCGGCUACUCCACCGGCCAAGGUUGGUACCAAUCGGAAGCUCGUGCGACGCCGGUCAUCUUCAUGCCAUCCUUGUCACAGUAAAGCAUUCGGAAAGCUGCCGAUCGAAGCCGUGAAAAGUCAUAGAAUUCCCGCUUCAAUUCACCACGGUUUCUCUGGUUUCCGGUGACGCCACCACUUGAGUUUUGUUCUCCACAGUUCCCUCUGUCUUUUCUGACCGACCACAGCCACCGGAGGAGCCGAUUUGUCGUUGAUCGGCCGUUGAAGGAUUCACGGGUUUGGGAGAAAUGAACUUAAUAUUUGUGAAGCAAAGUUCAAAUAUGAAUAAGUGAAAGGGCUUCAUGAAAUUUUAUACAGAAAAGACAAAAGCGGUGGCAUGGUGCCACUGUUGCACGAUAGGCGAGUCCCUAGGAGGGAUAGAGAAACAUGACUCCCAAAAUCUCUCACCCUUUUUUAAUUAAAAAAAUUAAAAUAUUAAUAAAAAUAAUAAAGAAAAUAGAAUUUUAUCUGCUCCUUACUCCAUUUUUGCAACUCUCUCACCAUCUCUGUCGAGCAGCCCUCUCUCUCACUGUCUCUCACUAUUUCACGAUCUCUCUCUCACUCACACAGGCAAUGACCAUCUCAUCGUCGGCGGUCGUGUCGUCAUUGUCACUGUUCUUGCUCGACCGAGAGACAGUGAGAGAGAGGUUUGUUAGAUGGAGUUAGUGAGAGAGAGUUGUAAAGAUGGAAUGAUGAUAAAGGAUUUUAAUUUUUUAUUGUUUUUUAUUAAUAUUUUAAUUUUUAAAAUUAAAAUGUGCUGCCGUUUCUCUCGCCUUUUUAACUGCUUAACUUAACAUUUUUUAAUUGUAAAAUCUUUUUAAUACAAAAAUUCAUUUAAAAUCUUUAUAAUAAAUACAAAUAUAAAAUUAAAAAAUAUCAUAAUUUAAAUUUUUUAAUAUUAUUUAAAUAUUAAAAAUACUUUAAUAUUAUUAGUCUACUACAUAAAAUAUAUUAUUUAUAUUAUAUUCGUAUUGAUUAAAACGUUUUAAAGUCAAAUUUUUAAUUAGUGUAUUCAAAGAUACAAAAGAUUUUAGUAUUAUUUUUUAAAAAUUUCAGGAUAUGAAUGAUAAUUUUUUUCAAAUUUUAACGAUGUAAGAAUCUUUUUUUCUGAUAAUUUAUUUCACUUUUGAGAGAAUCCGAAAACGUUAAUUUAACAUUCUUUACCUUUGUGAAAAAAGUGAAAAUCAAGAACUAUUCAAUUUUGUUUUUAUUUGUAAUUCAAAAUUUUAUUCAUUUUCGAUGCUUUUCAAAAGAGAUUCCUUUAAAUCCUUUUGGUGUCUGCAGCUCCUGCUAUUCUCAUAAAUCUCCAUCCCACAUCUACACUAUCAAACUAGUUGAUGGAAAUUCUUAUAAAAAAAAAAAAAAAAAAAAAAAAAAAGGUUGAUGGAAAUUGAUCAAUUACUUUUUGAAGUGGACCCAUUGAGUCAUGUUCAUUUCUGGUCAUUGUCUACUCUUUCUAUCAGCCAUUUAUUUUGACUAUUUGCGAUCUUAUCUGGACCAACUCCAAUUAUUUAUGUAACGAACUCCAAAGGUUGCAUCUACAGUUGAAUGUAAGAUAGCGAAAGCUCUUCUUUGAGAAAAUAGAGGAACCUUUCUCUGUUUCUCCGUUGCAACGUGCGCAUAUAAAUUUCUUUACCUUACAGUUUAUACGGUCUUGCUGUUAAUGAAUUCGCUGAGGCAUUAUUGAUCCAAUCUGAGUGAAGUAAUUGUGGGUGAAAAAUAAAUAAAAGGAUAUGAGAACGUAGCUGAAGUGCUGAAGGGGCUAUUAAAGAAGAGUGUCACUUGAUCACAAUCACAUUGAUGCACAACUCACUCGUGGCAAAUUUCGACUAUACGUUCUGCAAAUUCAGCCAAACCAUACAUGCAUGAACAAAACUAAAAUUAGAAAAAUGAGGGGUGAAUUGUUAACUCAGUAAAAAAAAAAAAAAAAACUCAUGCAUAAGAUUACUAAUAAUAUAAAUUAUAUAUUAAUCAUUGUAAAGAAUCAUAAAUUAGAAAAAUUAAUCAUUUUAUAAUUUAUUACACAAGUAAGAUAAAUCUUAUAAUAAGUUAUAACAUAAAAAACGUUAUCAAUAUAUAAUCAUUUAAGAAGUCAUUUAACAAUAAAAUCGUUCUUUGAUCAGUUGGUCAUGUCACAUAGUAUCAUCUAUAUUUAUGGUGAUAAUAUUAUUACUUAGUAUUAUCAAAAAACAUGAUUUAACAUUUAGAGGAAAUUCUUGCCUUUUAAAAAAAACAUCUAUGCAACAGCUACCCAUGCUUUAUCUUACCAUGAAAAAUAUUUUCUCAAUGAAAGAAAAUUUUUUAAAAUUUGAUUUAAUGCACAAAUAUGAUGAUUUUUGCAAAAAUUAGUUUUGGAAAACAUAGUGAGAGAAAAUAGUGACGAUUAUUGUUUAAAUGUAUAAAUAGCCUAAACAUAAUCCUUAAUACCAAUAUCCUAAUAUCCUAAUGCAUCUUAUCAUCUUUCAUGAUAUUCUUUGAUUUAUGUCCAUUGGUUCAAGAUUUGAAUUUGAUCAUUAAAUCAUGUUCAAUAAUAUUAGAGAUUCUAACAAAUGAGUACCAACUUAAAUCCCAAUGUUAUGUGUCAUUGACCAAUUUUGUGUCAUUUUGUUAUUAACUAGGUGAUGAAUUUCUAGUUGAUAAAAUCACUUAAAAAUAUCUUAAAAAUCAGACAAUAGUUUGCUUAAUUUUUCCAAGUUAACUGCUCAAGAUGCUCUAUUAUAAAUGAUAACCUAAUUAUAUUCAUAAAAAAAUGAUAUAUUUUUUGUGGUGUUGAUAAUGAGAUUAUCAUUCAACAUUUUAAAAUGUGAAAACAUAUGGAAGAUGGUUGUAAAUUGAUUGAAUGAAAAUAUUUCAGUGAAGUCUCAAAAAUUUGGUACUUGUUGUCUUAUCGAAAGUUUUCUAAAUUAUAUUCGUGGCACAGCCACUAUCCAAACCAUACAAGUCCAAAGCUAUCCAAACCAUACCUGCAAGUCCGGGGCUUAAAUGGAGUACUUCUAAGCAAAAAAACAUUGACUAAAAUAGAAUAUAUACAUACAGACACACAUACAUACCAGCAUAUUCAAAAUAGCAAAAGGAGUGCAAAAGUUCAAGUUUGUAGACAACAUUGCAACCAUAGCAUGUUUAUAGCAAACCUCAAAAUCUGCUAAAUAAAACAAUGCCCCGUCUCAUGAAUCAAUGCUGAAUUAAAAUUGAAACUGAAAGUCUGGAUGGUGUUGUUUGUUGAGAAUGUCAAAUAAAACGGCAUUGAAUGAAGUUUUCAAAGGCAGAAUCCGCACUUGUCAAAGACACGAUCCGCGCCGAACGGAUCGACACAGAAACCAAAUUCGUCCCACAACCAUUUUUUCCACCAUUUUCUUCCUUAAAACCAUUCUUACAGAAAUCCAUGCCGAUCAAAAAACAUGAAAGACAAAUUACACAUGUGCAGUAACCAAUGAUCAUAUUUCGUUACUGUCAAACACAAUGCAUCUGAGCAAAACAUUGGAAGCCAACACCAGAAUACAUAUGAAUAAACAAUUAAAGAUAGAGAAAAAAGGCUUAAACCUUGGGGGGAAAAAGUGAAAAAACAUGAAAGACAAAUUACACAUGUGCAGUAACCAUCGAACUUAUCAGUGACAGCUGCAUCCAUUACAUUGCUCCAACAACACAAUGGCAAACCACCAGUUUCAAAUUGAGGAUAGCUAUCGAGAAUGAGAAAGCGUCCAAAACGUCAUAAAUAGACAUGUUCCUAUUGUGCAUAAUUUACAUUAUAGGCAAAUAUUCUUAUACCGUCAAAGGCAAAACAUGACACUAACAAUUGAAUCCCCCCCCCCCCCCCCCCAAAACCAAAAAAAAAAAGGAAAAAACAAUACAGAAAAGAUCGAAACAGAUAAGGCUACACUGAGCACAGGAUGCCAUGAAACAUAAUCCAGGAACCAAAUUAAUAAAAAAGGAAGCCAAACCAUUAUUUAACAAUCUGUUUUGUAUCUGGGAAAGUCUGAUAAAAUCUACUUAGGGAUAAUUAGAGAACCUCAACUAUUAAUCACACCUCAUAAAUGAACUAACAUUAACCAUCUACCAUCCCCACGUCACACAAACAUUCUCUAUACUUCUGAACCUAAUACUUCCAUCUUCAAUCGGGGUUUUUUUUUUGGGGGGGGGGGGGGGGAGCUAUCAAUUUUCUAAGCUUGCUUAGCUUCUGUGUGGGAUUGAAAUGCUGAUUUCGAAUCACUAACAGUAAAAUUGGAAGCUCAUGAAAUAAUCAUGCAAUAGCUUAUUAUAUUGUUUUAGGUCAUUUUUUUCAACUAUUUUCUUGUUAAUAAAUGUCUUGAAAAGCUACAAGAUAAUAUUUCUCUUGCUGGUCGUGUGAAUAUGGAAGAGAUGGCCGAGAGCUAGGCAGCUAGCUAAUAGAAAUUUUUAUGCCUCAUACAUACUAAAUACAAGUCCAAAAGCAUUUCCCAUCUAGUCAAAAUAGAUAAAAAUUAAAGGCAUACGUAUGCUUUCUUAAUCAUCACACGCACUAAUUAAAUAUUAAUUGAAAAUCCUAGUUAAUCAGUAAAAUUAGCAACGGUGGCACCAGGCUUACAAGCCUUAGCCAUAGGGCUUGGGUGAACAAAAGGGCUGGGCCUCACGGGCUUCCCCAUAAGCUCUCCCGGCAGAUCCUUAAUGCCCUUCAAAUAAAAAGUAUAGAACAGCUUAAAUGGAAACACAAGUUGCUUCAGCUUAACCUGCCCACUCACUCCUUCAAAGAUCCCUGACCCUCCAGUCACAGCAAGACAAGUGUCCUUGUAUGUCAAAUAAGACCCCUGCACCGAUAUGUGACCGUAGUCUCCGAAGUAGAAGCUGUAUACGGCUUCGUAUCUGUCACCUUUCAUUGGCUUGUGCUGGAUCAAAAUGCAAAUUCCUGCUGUAAUUCCCACUCGCUUUUGCAAGUCUCCGCUAUAUAACUGCAAUACAUUAAAAAGAUUAUAUAUUAACAAUUCUAUGUAUACUAGUAACAAUAGAAUAAGCGAUAUUGGUGAUCAUGUUGCGGUAUAUCAUAUUGUCACCCAAUUUUUUUUUUUUUCAUAAUUGACGACUUCAACAAGAUUCACAUACGAUAAAUUACUAAUUUUAUAUCACAUCAGGUUAUAAUUUGUAUGAAGUAAUCUGAAUAUAGAACUUUUGUGCGUAUUAAUAUAAUUGAAACACGAAGGAUGAUUAACUUGCAAAACAAAUGGGUACUAUGAAAAAUUAAUUUACUUUGUUGCUAAAAGGGACAAGAUCACCGAGUGAAUUGAUGAAACAUUUCUUGCUCAACCGGAGAUAGGCUGGGCUCCCACGAUCUAGCUCGUUGAUCUCAUAAACAUACAAUUCUUGAACUUUGGCUACAAUUAAUCAAAGAUAAAACGGUAAAGAGAAUGAUUAACAAGAUACGUCAAAUUAAAAACAGAGGAAUGUUAAGAAAAAAAAAAAAAGAUACUAAUCAAAUUGUUUUAGCAAUUUGAUUGAAAGUGCGGCUGCACUAAUUUUCUAGAUGAAUUUUUCCUACAUGCUUGUUCUCGUAUGACCCAAAAUCCUGCUACAUCAGUUGUAUUAGAAAUUAAUCAACUGGGUUACAAUUAUGCAUCCCCACCAAUAUUUAAGCAAUUUAAUUACAGAAACAUUUCUUGGGGAAAGAAACUCAUAUCGCCACUAGGCUUUUAAUGAGGCUCAUUUUUAUGAAUCUGGAUGGCAUUAGAUAUCUCUACGAAUAUUGGUGGGAGUAGAUCGCAGAUCUCUGGGCUAUACUACAAAGUGUAUGUACGUUGACUCGCAAUAAAUACAAACGACUCUCUGAUAUGAUUCAAAACAUCAGUGCAUGCAUCAUUUUAACGAGAGAGAAUAUUCUAAGAACGAAAUUGAAGGUGCAAUCAGCAGCUAAAAUGAAGCCAGAAAUGUACACGCAUGAGGAAUUUUUCCUAGAAGAUUGAUAUUUCUUUGACUAGCAAACCAUACAAGUCCAAAGCUAGCCAAACCAUACCUGCAAGUCGGGGGUUUAAAUGGAGUACUUCUAAGCAUAAAACAUUAAUCAAAACACAGUACAGACACACACACACACCCCUACAUACAUACCAGCAAAAAUCCACUGAGAAAGUGGGAAAAAAAGAAAAUGCAUAUAAAAGUAUGAGUUAUCAGAUAAGAUUAAAACUCACCCAAUUCAAUCCAUCAGAUUCCAUAAGGAUAUAACUGGAUGUCAUACCGCCACUCCAUAUCCUUGAAAGUCCGUAGUGUUUGUCUCAACUCUGUCUGAGGCCAAUGUAAAUUCAAUUUGCGCAAGCUCUUUAUGCACCACAGCUCUUCUGGAAGCUUUCUCAAGUAAGCACAUGGGUUGACAAUUAAGCUUUCAAGUUUCGGCAUUGCUCCAGCCCCCAUCGUCCACUCAUCUAGCCAAUACAUUGAUUUCAGGUGCAAAACCUUAAGUUCGGGAAAGCUACUCAAGCCAACACAAGCAAGCUUUCUUCCUAAAUACGAGUUCUGCUUCAGUUUCAGCAGUCGAAGGCGUGGAAGAUUUUCCAGAAUUGGCAUGGGAUCCUCCUUUAGCUCAGUAUUUGAUAAGCUCAGUUGGAUCAGACUUGGGGGAAAUUGGUAUUCAGAUAGGACCAUCCGUGAGGGCUUGCUCUCAUUCACCAGCUUCAAGCAUUCAAGUUUGUGGAGUUCGCAAAGGCUUUUGGAAACCCCAGACUGAUAGUAACUCAAAUCUCCAGAUAUCCGAAGAGUCUGAACACUAGGUAGUCUGCCCAAUAUAUCAGGAGUACAACUACUAGGGUUUAAAGCUGAUAUGAAAAUGAGAUUUUUCAGAGAGCUAGAAUAAUUUUUUGGAGGUGCGGGCAGAGUGAUAGAACCAAAGUUUAGAUGCAUGAGUUUUUGCAUCAUCCAAAUAUCCUCUGGUGAAUGAUCUAUGUCGCUAGAUGGCAUUUCUAGUGUUUGAAGGUUUAAAAGGGUGCAUAGCAUUGAAGGAAGGCAUUUGAGCGAAGGGAUAUUCAAUUUCAAAUACUUCAAAAGGAAUAAAUUUUCUAAUCCGGGUGGAUAUUGGUCCAGGACUGCAGAACCCAUGUUCAGUACCCGAAGGUAUUUGAACAUUUUACAAAAGUUCUCGCAAUCUAUCAGAGCGAGACGAUCGCUUUCUGAACUGUGAUUCAGAAAAGAUUGGAGAUACAUGUCAGAAUGUUCUAGAGAAAGGAACUCAAUCAGACGUUCCACAAUGAAGCACCGUUUAACAUUUGCCGUUGAUUCCUCUUCCAUGUCAGGCGUCCAGACAAAUCCCGCCUUCUUUGCCACAAAAUACAAUGAAGUAUAUACAAAACUUGGAACAUAACACGCUUUAAUUGUGCCGCCGGCGCUUCUCUUACUCACUUGAAUGAAGCCGCGAUGGAUUAGUUCUUUCAAGAAAUGGUCGGCAGUUUCUUCACCGUUGUAUGGUACGAAACCUUCAGCUACCCACAACUGAUGUAAUUGCCUCCUGGAUAUCUCAAUACUUGGAGGGAAGACACACAAAUAGAUGAAGCAGACUUUCAAAUGAAAAGGUAACUCCAUCACAGAAAAAAUUUGUCUCCAAACUGUCGGAAUCGCUUCGCCUUGAAGAUAAUUUUCUAAUGGCAUACUUCCAUAGUGUAGGAUGAAAAAUUGCCAGGCUUCAUGCUUUAAUCUGAUCAAUGGUCCUCCAAAGAGCACUGAAUCACGCCGAAUCUUCUCUCCGUUUUCCAUUUCCAACGACGCAAGGAGGUCUGGAUCAGUGACCAAUAUCAAUACUCUGCUUCCAUUCUGAUUACCAGGAAGAACUUCUUCAAGAUCAUCCCAUAUCUCACGUUCAUUGAAGACAUCAUCAAGCACAAUAAAGUACUUCUUGUUGGUUAGGUAAUCUCGAAGAACAGAUUUCUUCGAUUGAUAAUCUUCACCGAUAAUUACACUAACCCGAGAUGGAGGCAUCACAGACUUGAUUAUGUCAUCCAAUAUCUUGCCAAAAUCGUAGGCUAAGGAAACCCUGACCCAAGCAAGACAGUCAAAAUAGAACUUGACGUGAUCAUUAUUGUAAGUAUCUGCAGCAAAAACAGUCUUGUCGAAGCCACUGCUGUCGAGAAUUGCAACCGCUGCAAGCCCAGAUGGUCCCUCAAUCAAUAGAUCAAACAACUCCUCUCUGCCCCUUUCAAAUUCAUUGAUAUCAAGCCGAGGUUGUCCCUCACUCAAUAGGCGAAUGAUUUCGUUACUUUUUUCACUGAUAUCAAAACCAUUGUCGCCGGGUGGAAGUUGUUGCAUCCGAUUUCUAAUAUCAAUGAUUUGACUGUGGAGUCCAUCAAGAAGAGCCAUAUUAGUGCUGCUUUCACUUUCGUUUUCACUGUUUUGCUGCUGCAUGAUGUUGAUGAAGAAUGUGUCAAUGGCUUCCUCAGAGUCACGGACAAAGUUAUUGAUGUCCUCCAGAAUUUCAAAAAUAUCUGCUGUUUCAACGUCUUCUUCAUCGCUUUCCUCUAAGUCCAACAGUUGCAAAAAAGGCAAAGAUAUUUUGGAGUCAUCGAAUUCUUCUCUAAUGAGUUGAAACAAAUGCCGAGCCAUGCCAGCUUCAUAUUUUCCCAGCAGAGUAGUAGCAAUAAUUUCGGACUCCGUAAGAAGGUUUUGAAAAAGUGGAGUUAAAUUUGUUGAAUCUGGCAGCGGCAACGUGCCUUCUUCACCUGCUAACACCCUCUCCAACCUCUCACAAAACAGUCGGAGGUGGACGUCCAGCAUAUCUCCUCCUCUCUGUAGCACCCAGAGGUAUUGUUUUUUUGCUCCAAGAAAUAUUAAAAGGAUUGGUUCUAUCUCAAAGUGGUUACUGGUGUAAAAUUAAACGACAUGGGAGAAUUUGAAAGGAAGAUGCCAAGGAACUGGCGAAGUGGCUAAAUUCCACAAAUACGGCAUUAUUGCUCAAUUUUAAGUCAAAAAAUUGAUACGCGUUCAUUUAGAAGAGGUAUCCAACCUUUAUCUUAUUUUAAUUACUACCACGACAUGAUUGAUGGUGUUUAAAUCAAUUGUUUCUUUUUUAAUUUAAAGAAUUUUUCAUUAAAAAUAUUUUAAUAUCAAAUUGCCUUCAAUAGCGUAACUGCCGCAAGCCCAGUAACAGGAUUAAUUAAAAUUUUUUGAAUUUUCGGGCACGGAAAGAGUAGUAUUAGACUUCAGAAAGCUAAGGUUGUUAUGUUAAAGAAUUGAUAUUGACAUAAUUUUAUUUUGGCUUUCGGGUAAAAAAAUAUUUGUUGACAAGCAAGAAAAUAUUUUUGUAUUUUACAAUUUAUUAUACAUAUUUGAUCAUAUUAAAGUAAUUUUAAUAAUAAAUAGACACAUAAUAUUACAAUAAAUAAAGUAAAGUUUAAAUUAUUUUGAAUAUUAUAAAAAAAUAAUUUUAAUAUUAUUAAUAGGAAGACAUUUUGUUAAUUUUAAAAUCUUUUUAACCUAAAGGUUUAUUUAAAAUCUUUAGAAAUCUCCAUCCCACAUCUACCCUAUUAAACAAGUUGAUGGAAAUUGAACAGUUGCUUUUUGAAGUGGACCCAUUGAGUUAUGUUCAUUACUGGUCAUUGUCUAUUCUUUCUAAGAGCCACUUGUUUUGAGCAUUAGCAAUCCUAUCUGGACUACUCCAAUUAUUGAUGUAACUCCAAUGGUUGCAUCGACAGUUGAAUGUAAGAUAGUGUUAGUUCUUUUUUGAGAAUUUCUUUAUUUGUUUCUCCGUUGCAGCGUAUUAGUAUAAAUUUCUUUACCUUACAGUUCCUACAGUCUUCCUGUUAAUGAAUUCGCUGAGGCAUUAUUGAUCCAAUCUCAGUGAAGUAAUUGUGGGUGAAAAAAAAAAUAAAGGAUAAGAGAACGUAGCUGAAUUGACUAUUAAAGAAGAGCGUCACCUGAUCACAAUCACAUUGAUGCACAACUCACUCAGAUCAUUACAACGUCCUUUUCGCUAAUUAAUUAUGAUUAUAUACAUUUUCAUAUGGCAAGUGGCAUUGUAGAUCUAAACUACGUUGCUAUUUCAUUACGUUAAUUAAGUGAUUCUCCUGAUUGUCAUCAGCGCUAUACCCUCUAGGAAAAUAGCUCAAUUGUUUUCCUGCAUUGAUUUUCAUUGGUAUGUGAUUUCUUAUGAAAUUCUUUUGAGCUUUCCUUAAUUAGACUUUUGAAAAUAGAAUUAAACAUUAGAUUAAAAUAAAAUAGAAUUAAACAUUGGUAUGUGAUUUCUUAUGGAAAGAGUAGUAUUAAACAUUAGAAAGCUAAGGUUGUUCUGUCAAAGAAUUGAUAUUGGCAUAAUUUUAUUUUUGCUUUCGAGUAAAAAAAAAAAAAAUUGUUGACAAGCAAGAUACUGUUUUUAUAUUUUACAGUCAGUUAUACAUAUUUUAUCAUAUUAAAGUAAUUUUAAUAAUAAAUGGAAACAUAACAUUACAAUAAAUCAAUUAAAGUUUAAAUUAUUUUGAAUAUUAUAAAAAAUAAUUUUAAUAUUAUUAAUAGGAAGAUAUUUUGUUUAUUGUAAAAUCUUUUUAACCCAAAGGUUUAUUUAAAAUCGUUAUAAUAAAUAAAAAUAUAAAAACAAAAUAAAUAUCAUAAUUUAAAAUUUUAAUAUUAUUUUAAAUAUUAAAAAUACUUUAAUGCUAUUAGUCUACUACACAGGUUAUAUUACUUAUAUUAUAUUUGUAUAAAUUAAAACUUUUAAAGUUAAAUUUUUAAUUACUAUAUUGAAAAGGUAUUAUGGUUAAAAAAAGUUUUGGCAUUUCUUUUUGAAAAUUUGAGGGUCUGCAGGACAAUUUGUCCAAAUCCUAGAGGUAUAGGUGUCUUUUUUUUUUCGAUAAUUCAUUUUACUUUUGAGGGAAUCUGAUGAGAAAUAAGAUAAGAGAAACGUCAAUUUAACGUUCUCUACGGAAAACCAAGAACUAUUCAAUUUUGUAUUUUUUGUUUGUAAAACGAAAAACAGUUUGCCAAAAAAGGUACCAAACAUAUCCUUAAUGUCUCACAUGAUUUCUUAUUAAGUCCAUACUCGAUAUAUUUAUACAUUUUAGGUAUUUUAGUUAUAAAAGAAGUUGGUCCUCCCUCUGUUUAUAAAAGGUAACUUUAUUUCGAGAUUACCACUAAAGUCUUACAAUGAAUUAGUGUAAUGUUAAGAGAGAGUAACACAAUUUUUCAUUACCAUUUUGAAAAUAGAAAGAUAUGGAUGUGUGCAUUUAAUGGUGCGUUUACUUGUCGGAUUGGGGAAUCGGAAUGAUUGAUGGUGUUUACUUCGCAAAUAUGGAGCAGGAAUCGAAAUUGAAAUGGUGGGGCCCACUACUAUUUGGGAAUGGGAGAUUGAUUCCCAUGGGGGAAGGUGUGAAUAGGGAUGGCAAAUUUUUCCGGAUCUGGCUCGGACCCGGAUAAACCCGGAUGAUCCGGUCCGGGUUGAACCCGGACGGGAUGUAUAAAAAUGCGGAAUCCGGAACCCAUUUUACAAACCCGCACAUGUCCGGGUCCAGUUCCGGUUUUAGGCGAACCCGUAUGUCCGGAAUCCGGACCCGGAUAUUUAUUAAUUUUAAUAUUAAUUUUUAAAAAAAUAUUUUUAAUAUAAAUAGAAAAAAAAAAGAACCCAGAGGUGCCCUAGGGCUUCAUUCAUUCACAGCCGCAGCAACACAUUUCCUCUCCCUCUUCAACUUGUCUUCAUCAAAUCAAAUCGUCGUCACACUCACUUGCCCACCUUCGCAGCUCAUCAUCAUCCUCAUCAGCUUGUCUUGGCGUCUUGCCCACCUUUGCGUUGCAGCUGUUCAUUAUCAUCAUCAUCAGCUUGUCUUGGCGUCUGACUCUUGCCCACCUUCGCGUCGCGGCUGUUCAUCAUCAUCAUCAACUCGUCUUGCCAACUUUUGCGGUUGUUCAUCAUCAAAUCAUCGCCGUCGUCACUUGUAUCAGCCGCCGUCACGAACAAUAACUAGCUUCGAUACAAUCAGAAGUAGCGAGCUUGCCUUCACCGGAUGCCAAUCCUUAAAGUUCGUGAAUGCCAAAUCGGUUCGAACCAAGCUUAUUUGUAUUUGGUUAGUUUAGGCCAUGGAUUUGUAUUUAAUUUGCUGAAAUCCUAGAUUUGUAUUUCCAUUUGUCAGUUGAAUUUAGUUUUUUUUUUUAAAUUAGAUUCAUCAAUCCGGGUUGGAAACCCGCAAUCCGGAAACCCGGUUUUUCCGGGUUGAAUCCGGACCGGACCCGGAGUGAAAAAAUGCGGGUUAUGUCCGGGUCCGGUAUAGAAAAAUAAUCGUCCGGGUCCGGAUCCGGAAAGGCUGAACCUGGACCCGGACCCGGACCCGGAUUUUGCCAUCCCUAGGUGUGAAUGAGUCUCCCAUUCCUGGAUUGACCAUUUUGCCCUCCCUCAAAAUUAAAAAUGCCUACUUUGUCCUCUUUUAUAAUUAAUUAAUAUAAUAUUAUAAUUAAUUAAUAUAUAAAUAUUUUAUUAACUAUAAUUAUUAAAAAUUAUAGUUCUUGAAUAAAUAAUCACAAUAAUUAAUUUAUUAUUAUUAUUGUUAUUUUAAUUAAUUAAUUAAUAUACUAUUAUAAUAAUUAUUAAUAUAAUUAAUUUAUAUAUUAUUAUUAUUAAUGAAUUAAUAUAAUUAUUACUAUUAAUUAAUAUAUUAAUAUAUUAUUAACAAUAAUAUAUUAAUAAUUAUUGUUCGUGAAUAAAUAAUCACAAUAAUUAAUAUAUUAUUAUUGUAAUUAAUUAAUUAAUAUACUAUUAUAAUAAUUAUUAAUAUAAUUAUUAUAAUUAAUUCAUAUAUUAUAAUUAAUUAAUUAAUAAAAUUAAUAUUAUUAAUUAAAUAAAUAAUAUAAUUAUUACUACUAAUUAAUAUAUUAUUAAAAAUAAUUAUUAAUAAUUAUAAUUUUUGAAUAAAUAAUCACAAUAAUUAAUAUAUUAUUUUAAUGAAGUAAUUAAUAUUAAUAUUAUUAGUUAAUAUAUUUUGAUAAUAAUUUUUAAUAUAGUUAUUAUAAUUAAUUAAAUUUUUUUACAAUUAAUUAAUAUAUUAGUUAAUAAUAAUUAUGACAAUAAUCUAUUAAGUACUUUUUAGUAAUUUAUUACAAUAUAAUUCAUUCCGAUUCCGAUUUCAAGACAAAGUAUACACAUUAAUGGCAAUCUAGCUCAUUCCGAUUUUGAUUCCUACAGUUCAAGUAAACAACUUAUUUUAAUUCCCAUUACUUAUUUCCAUUCCAGCCCAUUCUCAUUUCUGUCCAUUCCGAUUCCAGCUAAUUCCGAUUCCAGUUUAGUAAACGCAGCAUAAGAGUUAUCAUGAAAAUCAUACAAUUCAAUUUCCUGAAAUAUAUAUUUUAUUCACAUGUGCCAAAAGAAUAAAUAGAUAGAAAGUAAAUUUACAAUCCUCACUCCCUCACAAUUGUUAAAGUGAAUAUGCAUUACAACUGUGAACUGUCACUACUUUAGCCCUUUUUAAAAAAAAAAAAAAAUUAUAGUGUGAUCGAGACAGUGAACAUCAAGGAUAAAGUGCUCUGCUGGAAGCCAAACUUCCUUUGGCUUUCGGGGAAAAAAAUAUUUGUUGACAAGCAAGAAAAUAUUUUUGUAUUUUACAAUUUAUUAUACAUAUUUGAUCAUAUUAAAGUAAUUUUAAUAAUAAAUAGACACAUAAUAUUACAAUAAAUAAAGUAAAGUUUAAAUUAUUUUGAAUAUUAUAAAAAAUAAUUUUAAUAUUAUUAAUAGGAAGACAUUUUGUUAAUUUUAAAAUCUUUUUAACCUAAAGGUUUAUUUAAAAUCUUUAGAAAUCUCCAUCCCACAUCUACCCUAUUAAACAAGUUGAUGGAAAUUGAACAAUUGCUUUUUGAAGUGGACCCAUUGAGUUAUGUUCAUUACUGGUCAUUGUCUAUUCUUUCUAAGAGCCACUUGUUUUGAGCAUUAGCAAUCCUAUCUGGACUACUCCAAUUAUUGAUGUAACUCUAAUGGCUGCAUCCACAGUUGAAUAUAUGAUAGUGUUAGCUCUUAUUUGAGAAUUCAGAGGGAUAUUUCUAUGUUUCUCAAUUGCAAUGUGCUAGUAUAAAUUUCUUUACCUUACAGUUUAUAUAGUCUUGCUGUUAAAGAACUCACUGAGGCAUUAUUGAUUCAAUUUCAGUGGAGCAAUCGCGGGUAGAGGAUAAAUAAAGGAUAACAGAACAGAGCUGAAGUGCUAAAUUGGCUAUUGAAGAAGGGUGUCACAUGAUCACAAUCACAUUGAUGCACAACUCUCUGGAGGCAAAUUUUGUCUAUAUGUACUCUAAAUUCAUCUAAACCAUACAUGCAUGAACAAAAAUUAAACCGUAGUUCUCAUCACAACAGUAAUUGAAGCUACAAAAGCCAGCAAAUCUGAACAAAAACUUAAAAGGAAGAUCUUAUUCAAAUUUGUCCCCAAAAGAGAGCUGAGAUGAAAAAUAUUGACUAAUGAAUGGGUCAAUGCUGGAUACAUUUCAAAUGGAAAGCUUGGCAGCAGUUACAAUGUUUCCCCCUCAGCUUUUCCUCCAAAACAAAUUCAGUUGUAAACAAUAACCGAAGUAGAGAUAAUUCAUUCAUCAAAGAAAAUACCCAAGUUUUCAACUAACAAAUCCUCUUGUCUAAACUAAAAAAACUCGUAUCUCUAAAAUUUAUUUGCAAAAUGUUGGAAAUGAGGAGUGAUCCGUUAACUCCAUAAAUAAACUCAUGCAUAAUGUUAACAAUAAUGAUAAAUUACAUAAUAAUUAUUGUAAAGAAUUAUAAAUUGGAAACGCUAAUCAUUCUACAAUCUAAUAAAUAAGUAAGAUAAAUCUUGUAAUAAGUUAAGUUAUAAUGUAUAAAUAUUUUCAAUAUAUAAUUAUUUAAGAAGUCAUUUAAUAAUAAAAUAUUUAUUCUAUUCAGUUGAUCAUAUAGCGUUAUCUAAACUCUUGACGAUAUUAUUAUUACACUUUUCUCAAAAAAACAUGAUUAACAUUUAGAGAAAAGUCAUGCCUUUUAGAUAGAAUAUGUACAUAAGCUAUCCAUACUUUAUCUUACCAUGAAAAAAUUGAUGGUGAUUAAAUCUACUUUUAAAAUAGAUUUAAUGCACAAAUAUGAUGAUUUUUGGCAAAAAUUAGUUUCGGAAGAUACAAUGGUAGAAAAUAGUGAUGAUUAUUGUUUAAAUGUGUAAAUAGCCUAGGCAUAGCCCGUAAUACCAAUAUCCAUUUACCUUCAUUUAGAUUAUCACAUCUCAUAAUAUUUUUUCAUUCACGACCAUUGUUCGAGAUUUGAACUUGAUCAUAAAUUAAGCUGCAACGGAGUCUACUUAUGUUUCUAAGCUUUUCAAUCGCGAUUCCUCCAUGCCUUUCUUGGAUACCAUUUUACUGACCUUGUAAUUGGUGUGUAUAAGGAAUCAUGCCCUUUCAGGAUUGUUUUCUUUUUCUUUUUUUUUUCCUUAUUGUAGUGUCAAAUAAAUAAAGAACGAACAAUUGAACUUAGUCUAUUUCGAGGAAAACCAAGGCCUGCAAUAUUAGAUGAACUUUGAACAAAAUUAAUCUACUGCUUUUAGGCAAUGAUAACGUAGUUAUUUAUAUACAGUAUAAAUGAUAUUUUUUUGUCGAACGAGACUGUCAUUCAACAUUUAAAAUAUAAAACAUGUGGAAGAUGUUGUAAAUUGAUUGAAUGAAAAUAUCCCAAUGAAGUUUAGAAAAUUUGGUACUUGUUAUCUUAUCGAAAGUUUUCUAAAUUAUACGACUGUUUAAACUUAGCCCCUCCAGGUACUGCCACUUCUUCUACAUGAAAGUCAUAUAAGUUUGUGUUAGCUGCCUAUAGAUUGCAUAACAAUUUUCCUCAGGAAUUGUUGUCCAUUAUGGCAAUUUGAUUGAAAGUGCGGCUGCACUAAUUUUCUAGAUGAACUUCCCUGCAUGUUUGUUCUCAUAUGACCCAGAAUACUGCUAUAACAAUUGUGUUGGAAAUUAUUCAACUGGGUUACUAACUUACUAUUCUACAUCCCCACCAAAAUUUAAACAGUCGACAUUGUGGAAAGAAACACAUUUCGCCACUAGGCUUUUAGUGAGGCUAAUUUCUCUGAAUUUGGACAGAGUAGGUCCUCCAACGAGAACUGAAUCAGGACGAAUCGGCUCUCCAUUUUCUAAUUCGAACGAGCAAAGGAAGCCUGAAUCUGUGACCGUUAUCAAUAUUCUGCUUCCAUUCUGAUUCUCAGGAAGUACUUCUUCAAGAUCAUCCAAUACAUCGUCACCCUCUUUGUAGUAAUCAUCAAGCACAACAAAGUACUUCUUGUUUGUUAGGUAAUCUCGAAGAAUAGAUUUCUUCAAUUGAUAAUCUUCACCGAUAAUUAAUCUUCAAUUGAUCAUAAAUUAAGCUGCAACGGAGUUUACUUAUGUUUCUAAGCUUUUCAAUCGUCAUUCCUCCAUGCCUUUCUUGGAUACCAUUUUACUGACCUUGUAAUUGGUGUGUAUAAGGAAUCAUGCCCUUUAAGGAUCUUUUUUAUUUUUUUUUUUCCUUAUUGUAGUGUCAAAUAAAUAAAGAACGAACAAUUGAACUUGGUCUAUUUCGAGGAAAACCAAGGCCUGCAAUAUUAGAUGAACUUUGAACAAAAUUAAUCUACUGCUUUUAUUCAUCUUUGGACUAUGAAUUUAUACAAAGACUUUAACAGAAAAUAACAAAGACACAGCUACAUGAUACCAAUAAGUGCUGACUUAGUGGACUACUUCUACAACUAAAUAAAAACUAAUUAUUUAUUUUGAUUGUAAUAGCAACUACCCUGAUGAAUAGGACUCCACAACAACCACGUGACAAUUAAUUUCUCCUUAAUAUUAUUAUUAGUAGAAGUAGAUUUUCAAACUAGUCUUGAUAUAUGACAAAGUUGUAUUAUCAAUGUAUAUGCAUUUAGAUUGUAACUAUAUUUUUUUUAAAACAAAUUUAAUUAUUGCACAGUAAAUGUGGAAAAAUAUCUAUAAAAUAAUAUUAUUUACUAUGAAAAAAUAUUAUUUUAGAUAAGUUAUUUAUUUAUUUAUUAUUGAAUGAAUAAUUUAUUAAUUUAUUGAUAAAUGAAUAUUUAUUAAUUUAAAGAGAGAUUAUUUUUCUUUUAAGAAGAGUUUGUUUGGUACAUGUAUACACUUAUUAAUUUAUUGAAGAUGUCCAGCAAUUAAAGAUCUCUGUCUCAAUACUUUUCCCAAUCAAAAUCAAGAAACAAAAAAAAACUUGCCAUUUUUCUACUUGAUAAUUAAUUGAAAUUUAAGAAAAUACAAUGGCAUUUCAAUUAGAAUUGGUAAUUGUUUAUCUUUUUUUCAUUGAUCAAAUUCAAAUCUUUAUCCAAUAGUUAUAAAUGAAAGAAAUAUUAUGAGAGGAGAUAGGCCAAUUGAAGCCGUACCAGCAAAUAAAAAAUAGAAAAGGAGUGCAACUAUUCAACUUCGUAGACAAUAUUGCAACCAUCCAAAGGUGAAGAUCUAUGCUUAUUAUCUAUUUAACAGCUAUAUAUAUAUAUAUUUAAAUAUCAAGAGCUAUGCUUGUAAAUAAGUUCAAAUGUGAUGAGAACAACCUUAUAUUUAUUUAUUUAAAUAUGACCCAGGCUAAUUUCUCUGAAUUGGGACAGAGUAGAUUUCUAAGCUAAUGCUUGGCAGAUCUCUGGACGAUACUACAAAGUGCAUGUACAUUGAGUCUUAAUAAAUAUAAACGAUUCUCUGAUAUGAUUCAAAACAUCACUACAUGCAUAAAUUAAUAAGAAAUGUAUAGUUGUACAUAAUUUUAUGCAUGAGGCAGUUUUUAUAGUUGUACCCUCUCUAAUGAAAUUGAAGGUGCAGCCAGCAACUAAAAUGAAGCAGAAAUGUACACGCAUGAGGCAGUUUUUUUAGAAGAUUGAUAUUUCUUUAACUAGAAAGCCAUACAAGUCCACAGCUAGCCAAACCGUACCUGCAUGUGUCUAGGGCUUAAAUGGAGCACUUCUAAGCAUAAAACAGUAACUAAAACACAUACACAAACAUACAUACCAAAAAAUUCAAAAAAUAGAGAAAGGAACACAACUAUUCAUGUUUGUAGACAAUAUUGCAACCAUGGCAUCAGUUAUAGCAAAUAUUGAAUUACAAUAUUUCCCUUGACGAUUUUGUCUACACAAGUAAAGGGAAAUAAGAAUCAUAGAUGAAAAUCAACUUUUACGGUUCUAAUUAUUAGAUAGAUACAGAAUGAUCUAUCUUUGUUACUUUGUUUCUCUGCUGCAAUGUGCGAUCCCACUCUGUUUUGAUACUCAAAUUGACUCUAUGUGGAGACAUAAUUUUGACAUUGGAAGCAAUCCCAAUUAGUUUGGCAUUUGUAUCACCCUUUGAAGGUUUUACAAUAGAUGCAAAUCUACUGAGAAAAUGGUAAAAAAGUUGCAUAUAAAAUGAGGCAAUUAACAGAAGUAUGAGUUAUCAGAUUAGAUUAAAAGUCACCCAAUUCAAUCUAUCAGAUUCCGUACGGAUAUAACUGGAUGUCAUACCUCCACUCCAUAUCCUCGAAAGUCCGUAGUCUUUGUCUCAACUCUGUUUGAGGCCAAUGUAAAUCCAAUUUGCACAAGCUCUUUAUGCACCAUAGCUCUUCUGGAAGCUUUCUCAAGUAAGCACACGGGUUGACAAUUAAGCUUUCAAGUUUUGGCAUAGCUCCUGCCCCCAUCGUCCACUCGUCUAGCCAAUACAUUGACUUCAGGUGCAAAGUCUUAAGUUCCGGAAAGCCACCAGAGCUAACGCAGGCCAGCUUUCUUCCUAAAUACGAGUUCUGCUUUAGUUUCAGCACUUGAAGGCGUGGAAGCUUUUCCAGCAUUGGCAUGGGAUCCUCCAUUAGCUCAGUAUUUGAUAAGCUCAGUUGCAUCAGACUUGGAGGAAAUUGGUAUUCAGACAGGACCAUCCGUGAGAGCUUGCUCUCAUUCACCAACUUCAAGCAUUCAAUUUUGUGGAGUUCGCAUACGCUUUUGGAAACCCCAGAGUGAUAGCAACUCAAAUCUCCAGACACUCUAAGAGUUUGAAGAUUAGGUAGUCUGCACAAUAUAUCUGGCGUGCAACUACUAGGGUGUAAGGCUGAUAUGAAAAUAAGAUUUUUCAGAUUGAUAGAAUAAUUUUUUGGAGGUGCAGGCAGAGUGAUGGAACCAAAGUUCAGAUGCAUGAGUUUUUGCAUCUUCCAAAUAUCCUCUGGUGUUUGAUCUACGUAGCUAGAUGGCAUGUCUAGUGUUUGAAGGUUUGAAAGGGUGCAUAGCGGUGAAGGAAGACAUUUGAGCGAAGGGAUAUUCAAUUUCAAAUACUUCAAAUGGAAUAAAUUUUCUAAUCCGGGUGGAUAUUGGUCCAGGACUGCAGAACCCAUGUUCAAUACCCGAAGGUGUUUGAACAUUUUACAAAAAUUCUCGCAAUCUAUCGGAUUAAGAUGAUCGCUUUCUGAACUGUGAUUCAGAAAAGAUUGGAGAUACAUGUCCGAAUGUUUCAAAGAAAAGAAUUCAAUCGGAUCAUCGAAAAUGAUGUACCGUUUGGCAUUUGCCAAUGAUUCCUCUUCGAAGUCAGGCGUCCGGACAAAUCCCAUCAUUGCUGCCGUCCCAAGUAACGCAGCAUAUGCAAAAGUUGGAACAUAACUGAUGGGUGUCGAAGCCAACAAAAAUAAAUUCCUACUCUAAAUAAAUUGUGUAUAGUGAUUGAGCAGGGUCGUGUCCACAGAGAUCGGUAAUUAUUUAAAUCCUUUUGAAACGUAAAACGUAAAAUGGGGGAAUUGUAGACAAUAAUAAAAAUCAAAUUAAAUAACAAGAAUGCAAAUUAAAGUUGUAAUUCAAAUUGGAGAAAGCUCUGGUUGAAGGAAUUAACUAAGCUUGAUUCGACUACUGAUCAUUGAUUCAAAUAUAGAUUAUUAUUACUCAUGAAUAGACCGGUUAUAGCUAUUGAGACCCUCUAAUAGCCAAUCUCUCCUUAACUAGUCGAUAACCAAGGUACGACCGUUGGAUAUUUCCCUAAUCAAUAGACAACCCUAGAUACGAUCAUAUGAUUUAAUCAAUUGACAGCCUGAAAAAUCAGAGAGACCCAAAUCCUAAUUAACACAUAUGAUGAUUCAUUUAAAUUAGAUUGUUUAUUCUCACAACACAACUCUCUGCUAUGUUAUUUGUCACAAACAUCAAAUUCUUCAUACGAUGAAUCCUUUAAUUGACAAUAGAUUAAGUUGAUAAUUAAAUAGUGGCCAAUUACCUAAUUAACAAACAUAAUCAUAAAAAUAAUUCAGAGAAUAAACAAAUACCCAAAAAGUAAUAAAACAAUUAAAGCACAAGAAAGAUCUCACAGUAGUGAUGAAUCAAAGCUUCAUUAACCUUCAACCAGAAAAAUGGGUUUAGUUCCUCAUAGAGAGAAUAGAAAAAUUAGAUCUAGGGUUCUUUUUCUCCAAUCCAAAAAUCCCCCUUUUUCACAAUAGAUUCUUCCCUUAAAUACUCUCUCUCUCUUCUCUUUUAGAAUUCUAUUUAAAAUAAAAUACUAAUAUCUGAAAUAUUAAAUUCGUAAUUACAAAAAUAACCAAAAAUACAAAACACGUUAAACUAAAAACUGCAGGUCCGCAGUUGACAGCACGCGCCCACGCCUUAUCAACAAAGUUCUUCUGACGCUCAUAAUUUCUCCAAGAGAACAAUCCUCCUUAAACAUCAUCUUUUAGCUCAAUUUUAUCACCAAUCAAUAGAAUUGCACCUACAAAAGUAAAACACAAGUAAAACAUUAUUAUUAAAUGCAAAACAUCGAUAUUAAGGGAAGUAAAUAAUGCAAAACUAGUGCAUAAAUUGCACUCUAACAAUAACACGCCUUACUUGUGCCUCCGGCUCUUCUCUUAUUCACUUGAAUGAAGCCGCAAUCGAUUAGUUCGUUCAAGUAAUGCUCGGCAGUUUCCUCACUGUUGUAUGGUGUGAAACCUUCAGCUACCCACAACUGAUAUAAUUGCCUGGUAGAUAUCUCAAUGCCUGGAUGGAACACACACAAAUAGAGGCAGCAGAUUUUCAAGUGAGCAGAUAGCUCCAACACAUAAUAAAUUCGACUCCAAGUUGUCAGAAACGCUUUUUCUCCCAUGUAAAUUCUUAAUGUCGUUUUUCCAUAGUAUAGGAUGAAAAAUUGCCAGGAUUCAUGCUUUAAUCUGAUCAAUGGUCCUCCAACGAGAACUGAAUCAGGACGAAUCGGCUCUCCAUUUUCUAAUUCGAACGAGCAAAGGAAGCCUGAAUCCGUGACCGUUAUCAAUACUCUGCUUCCAUUCUGAUUCUCAGGAAGUACUUCUUCAAGAUCAUCCAAUACAUCGUCACCCUCUUUGUAGUAAUCAUCAAGCACAAUAAAGUACUUCUUGUUUGUUAGAUAAUCUUGAAGAAUAGUUUUCUUCAAUUGAUAAUCUUCACCGAUAACUACACUAACCCGAGAUGGAGGCAUUACAGACUUGAUUAUGUCAUCCAAUAUCAUGCGAAAAUCGUAGGAUAUAGAAACCCUGACCCAAGCAUGACAGUCAAAAUAGAACUUGACAUGAUUAUUAUUGUAAGUAUCAGCCGCAAAAGCAGUCUUAUCAAAGCCACUGCUGUCGAGAAUUGCAACCACUGAAAGCUGAGGUUGUCCCUCGAUCAGUAAAUCAAACAACUCCUCUCUGCCGCUUUCAAAUUCAUUCUUAUUAAGCUGAAAUAAUAUCAACUUCGCUCUUUGAAAUCAAAACCAUUGUCUCUAGGUGGAAGUUGUUUCAACUGAUUUCUAAUAUCAAUGAUUUUACUGUGGAAUCCAACAAGAAGAGCAAUGCAAGUAGUGCUUUCACUUUCACUGCUUUGUUGCUGCGUGUUGUUGAUGAAGAAUGUGUCAAUAGCUUUCUCAGAUUCAUCGACAAAGUAAUUGAUGUCUUUCAGAAGUUCCCUAAUGUCUGUUCUUUUAACAUUUUCUAAGUGCAAGAGCUGCCGAUAACGCGAAGGUAUUUCGUCUUCAUCGAAUUGUUCUCUAAUGAGUUGAAUUAAAACCCGAGCCAUGUCAGCUUCAUAGUUUCCCGGCAGACUAGUAGCAAUAAUUUCGGACUCCGUAAGAAGGUUUUGAAAAAGUGGAGUUAAAUUUGUUGAAUCAGGCAAAGUUAACGUGCCUUCUUCACCUGCUAACACCCUCUGCAACCUCACACCAAAUAGGGUGAGGUUAAUUUCCAUAUCUUUCCCUCUCUCAGUAGUACUCAGAGGUGAAUAACAACCUCACCCUUUGUUAGUAUUGAUGACGAAAGCUGAAUAACAAAACAACAGUGUACACAAUCAACAGAAGGCAAAGUAUGUUAAUUUGAGAUCAAAGGAUAUAAAUAUAGGAAAAGUUUUUGUAGAUUGAAAAUGGAUGGAUGCAAAGAAUGACUGAUAUUAAAUGAUUCUAUAAAUGAGAUAUGCCAAGAAUGAAUGAUAUUAAGUGAACAUCAAGGAUGGGAACAAAAUUUAAAGGUAACCUUUUUUUUUUUUUAAGUACUCUGUUGAAAGCCAAAGUUCCUUUGGCCAAUUAAUUUAGAAGUGAAGGAAAGAAUAAAGUUAGUCCUUGAUGUCUUUUGAAAUUAGAAAUACAUUUUGAAUGCCUUAAUAGAUGCAGAGCAAACUGGCUCGAUAUCUAACUAUUUUAAGAGCUAAAAUCAUUUAUUAGAAGUUGUAGCAUUAAAAAAAAUGGGCUUGAUAUCCAAUUUUGUUAUUGAAUAUGUCUCACGUGAGAGUAUAUAACUGUUGUGUUACUGGCAGAUGGCUAUGCUAGGUUUUAUUGCUCCUUGAAUUUGAUUGAAAAAUUAUUGAGACGGACAAGUUUGGACCAUUGUUCGAGACUGAAACUACACAUCAGUCUUAGAAAAUUGUAAUUUUAUUGGCUUAUCAUGAUUUUCAUCGCCCCAUAUUGAUUUUCCUAUGAUGUCUCUGUAGAGUGGCUAUGCUUACAUUUUUAGGUAUUUACUUCUAAAGGUUAACUUAUUAGAUGGAGGGACCAAUUCUACCCAUAAAUCCAAGUGGCUUCCCUUUACUAACUCAUAUGAGACACAACAAUAAUUUUCUUUGGACAAAACCACUGUUGGAGGGUUAUUUUCAUUCAAGAUACAUGAGUUGUUCCACCACCAUAUUUUGAGGGUUUGCUUUGGAUAUGACUUGGGGGAGCUAAGGCUAAGAUUUCUGAGUAGCAACAUAAAAACCUUGCCUAUUGGAUGGAAGGACCAAUCCUACUUUAAAGUCUAAAUGACUAAUUCUUGAGGACACAACUCAACAGACCAAUAUAAACUUUUGACGUCCCAUUUUAUUACUUUCCAGUGCUUUUACUUUUGCUGUCUAGAUAAAAACUAGUAUCAGUUUUUUUAUUUUUCCAUGUUAAAAAUGAUAAUUCUACAAUACAAACCGUUUCAAACAAAGAAGUAGACGAUAUUGAUAUUGAAUAAUAUCUUAUCCCAGAACGACAAUACUAAUUAUAAUUUCUUUUCGCACUGCAAAAAGUAAAAAAUGAGAUCCAAAUUGAAAUUAAUUCGACAAAGAAGCAAACAUUUCUAAGAACAUAUUUUAUACAAGUUUAUAGACAUAUCAUAUGGAUUUUGUUUUAUGCUAGAUAAUUAUUAAUUUAUAUAGCAAGUGGGUCCAUAACAAAAUAUGAAUUUAAGAAGAAGAAAAACUAUGUUUUACAAAAUUUCUGAAAUUAUUAACUUUUCACUUCGUCCAUCACAAAAAUUAUUAUUUAAUUCAGAUUAUCAAUUUAUUAAGAAUUAAUUCAAUGAGAUUUUAACAUAAAUAGUUACUUAUUAUCAUGUUUACGUUUCUCAACCAUUAAUUGCUUCAACUAAUUUUUGUUUCCACACACAAAUUUAUUGUAAAAAUAGUUCAACGUGUGUCUUUCUUCAAAUAACAAUUUUCUUGCCAAAAACAGUUUUCUUGUCACAAACAGAAAGUUUGUGUUAGCUGAAUGUCAUAUAAAAAACUGCCACUUCUUCUACAUGAAUGUCAUAUAAAUUUGUGUUAGCUGCCUAUAGAUUGCAUAAUAAUUUUCCUCAGGAAUUGUUGUCCAUUAUGGCAAUUUGAUUGAAAGUGAGGCUAAUUUCUCUGAAUUUGGACAGAGUAGGUCCUCCAGCGAGAACUGAAUCAGGACGAAUCGGCUCUCCAUUUUCUAAUUCGAACGAGCAAAGGAAGCCUGAAUCUGUGACCGUUAUCAAUACUCUGCUUCUAUUCUGAUUCUCAGGAAGUACUUCUUCAAGAUCAUCCAAUACAUCGUCACCCUCUUUGUACUAAUCAUCAAGCACAAUAAAGUACUUCUUGUUUGUUAGGUAAUCUCGAAGAAUAGAUUUCUUCAAUUGAUAAUCUUCGCCGAUAAUUACACUAACCCGAGAUGGAGGCAUCACAGACUUGAUUAUGUCAUCCAAUACCAUGCGAAAAUCGUAGGAUAUAGAAACCCUGACCCAAGCAUGACAGUCAAAAUAGAACUUGACAUGAUUAUUGUUGUAAGUAUCAGCAGUAAAAUCAGUCUUAUCGAAGCUACUGCUGUCGAGAAUUGGCUUGCAACCACUGAAAGCUGAGGUUGUCCCUCAAUCAAUAAAUCAAACAACUCCUCUCUGCCGCUGUCAAAUUCACUCUUAUCGAGCUGUGAUUGUGCCUCAAUCAAUAAGUGAGUGAAUUCGUUCCUUCGUUCUCUGAAAUCAAAACCAUUGUCUUCAGGUGGAAUUUGUUGCAACCGAUUUCUAAUAUCAAUGAUUUCACUGCUUUGCUGCUGCGUGAUGUUGAUGAAGAAUGUGUCAAUAGCUUUCUCAGAUUCACGGACAAAGUAAUUGAUGUCUUUCAGAAGUUCCCAAAUGUCUGUUCUUUUAGCAUUUUCUAAGUGAGCUGCCGAUAACGCGAAGGUAUUUCGUCUUCAGCGAAAUGUUCUCUAAUGAGUUGAAUCAAAACCCGAGCCACGUCAGCUUCAUAGUUUACCAGCAGAGUAUUAGCAAUAAUUUCGGUCUCCGUAAGAAGGUUUUGAAAAAGUGGAGUUAAAUUUGUUGAAUCUGGCAGCGGCAACGUGCCUUCUUCACCUGCUAACACCCUUUUCAACCUCACACCAUAUAGUGUGAGGUUAAUUUCCAUAUCUUUCCCUCUCUCAGUAGUACUCAGAGGUACGUAUUGUUAUUUGUUAGUGUUGAUGACGAAAGCUGAAUAUCAAAGGAUAUAAAUAAAACAAAAGUUUUUGUAGAUUGAGAAUGGAUGGAUGCAAAGAAUGGCUGAUAUUAAAAUAUUCUAUAAAUGAGAUAUGCAAAGAAUGAAUGAUAUUAAGUGAACAUCAAGGAUGGGAACAAAAUUUAAAGGUAACUUUUUUUUUUUUUUAAAGUAGUCUGUUGAAAGCCGAAGUUCCUUUGGCCAGUUAAAGUUAGUCCUCGACGUCUUUUGAAAUUAGAAAUACAUUUUGAAUGCUUUAAUAGAUGCAGAGCAAACUGGCUCGAUAUCUACCUAUUUUAAGAGCUAAAAUCAUUUAAUAGAAGUUGUAGCAUUAAAAAAGAAAAAAAAAACUGGCUUGAUAUCCAAUUUUGUUAUUGAAUAUGUCUCAUGUGAGAGUAAAAAAAACUGGCUUGAUAUCCAAAAUUUAAAGGUAACUCCUUGAAUUUGAUUGAAAAAUUAUUGAGACGGACAAGUUUGGACCAUUGUUCGAGACUGAAACUACACAUCAGUCUUAGAAAAUUGUAAUUUUGUUGGCUUAUCAUGAUUUUCAUCGUCUCACAUUGAUUUUCCUAUGGCGUCUCUGUAGAGUGGCUAUGCUUACAUUUUUAGGUAUUUAAUUCUAAAAAUUAACUUAUUAGAUGGAAGGACCAAUUCUACCUGUAAAUCCAAGUGGCUUCCCUUUACCAACUCAUACAAGACACAACAAUAAUCUUCUUCGGAAAAAACCACCGUCGGAGGGUUAUUUUCGUUCAACAUAAAUGAGUUGUUCCGCCACCAUAUUUUAAAGGUUUGCUUCUAAUACAACUUGGGGGAGCUAGGGCUAAGAUUUCUAAGAAUCAACAUAAAACCCUCGCCUAUUAGACAGAAGGACCAAUCCUACUUAUGAGUCUAAAUGACUAAUUUUUGAGGACACAACUCAACAGACCAAUAUAAACUUUUGACGUCCCAUUUUAUUACUUUCCUGUGUUUUUACUUUUGAUGCUGUCUAUAGCCCUACUAUUCUAUUAAGCAGAAAAUAUUUCAAGGCACUCUCGGUCCAGUAGAUAACUUUGGUAUUUAUUAUCUAUUUUCUUUCCAUUUUAUGUAUACCCCGAUCUUUACCUCUGAUUGGUUGUAGAUUCUUUUGUUGCUUUGGGGUUAGGGGAUGGUUUUCAUAACUAUUCAGUUGAUCAAUGCAGAAAAUCACCAUCAAGAAAUGAUAAAGGAUUGUUAGUUCUAUCUCUGACAAACAACAUUAAUAUGAAGGAUGAUGAUUGUUCUGUUCAAGAGUUUAUAAUGACAUAAUUCUACUUUGGUCUUUUAAAAAAAGUAAUUUAGAAACGAGGAGUAUGUGAGUGAUGAUUUUUACAAAAUAAAUUACAUGCGUAGUGAUGAUUUUGGCACAUGAAAAUGAAAAAAGAAAUAUAAAUUGUGAAUAAUAAUUGAAGAACCUGCUAUUGGUAUAUUGAGUAAUCAAGGACUUCAAUAUUCGGACGAUAUAAGCAACACAAUCAAAUAUUAGUUGGAAGGCAUAGCAAAAUUAGAAUGUAGAACAAACUGGGUAUUGAUAAAUGGAUGGUUUUGGAAGAAUUGAAAAUGAUGGCAUAAGUAAACCAAAGUUUAGAGAAAAGAGAAAGAGCAUUUGAACUUUACUUGUAAGAAAAGGCAAAUAUCUUGGUUCAAGAAAAGAUAAGAGAUAUCAAACUAGCAAUAGGAAAAAGGAGGAAGGUUAAGACAGCAUCUUAACAAAAGCUAAAGAAAAGAAAAACUUAGUUCAAGCAAAGAACAAUGUGCUAAUGUCGUGUAAUUUUGUUUAAUUUCUUUUUCUUCUCACAUUUUCCAGGGCUUAAAUAAUACAAUAUACAUUUUCAAGCAAAGAACAAUAUGCAAUUGCAGUACUUCUGAGCACACAACAACAAAUAAAUAAUACAAUAUACAUAGCCAGUAAAUUAAAAAUAUAUAUAUUAUUCAAGUUUGUGGACAAUACUGUAGCCAUGGCGUCGUCGAAAUCUACUGACAGCUGAAACAAAGAAAGAAUGGAUGAAUGCUGGAUCACAGUUGAAAUUGAAGGUCUGGUAGGUGAUGUUUCCCUCUCUUUUUUUACCUAAACAAAUACAAGAAAAUCAGAAUCACAAAUGAAAAUCUGCUAUUACACUGUUCUUACCUAUUAAAAUACAGAGGUUUCUUUGUUUCUCAGCAGCAAUGUCCAUGGCUAUUAGAAACAAGAACAAUUAGACCAGCAUUUGCAAGAAUCCUGUAAGGUAUUACUGCAGAUAUAAAUCGACUGAGGAAAUGGAAAAAUUGAAUACCAAAUUAGGCAAGUUAAAUGAAGAUUGAGUUAUCAUAGAAGAAUAAAACUCAUCCAAUUCAAUCCAUCAAAUUCCAUAAGGAUACAACUGGAUGUCAUACUGCUGCUCCAUAUCCUCAAGAGCCCGUAGAUUUUGCCUCAACUCUGGCUGAGGCCAAUGUAAGUCCAAUUUGCAAAAGCUCUUUAUGCACCAUAGCUCUUCAGGAAGCUUUCUCAAGUAAGCACAAGGGUUGACAAUUAUGCUUCCAAGUUUUGGCAUUGCUCCAGCCCCUAUCGUCCACUCCUCUAGCCAAUACAUUGAUUUCAGGUGCAAUACCUUGAGCUCCGGGAAACCACAAGAGCAAACACAAGCCAGUUUUCUUCCUGAAUAUGAGUUCUGCUUCAAUUUCAGCACUUGAAGGUGUGGAAGCUUGUCUAGUGUUAGCAUGGUAUCCUCCAAUAACUCAGUAUUUGAUAAGCUUAGAUGGAUCAGACUUGGAGAAGCUGGUAUUUAGACAGGGCCAUCCGAGAGAGCUACCACCUCUUGGUUUCGUUCACCAGCUUCAAGCAUUCAAGUUUAAUAAUGAUUAGUUUUAGAUUAGUUAAAAUGUAAUCAUGAUUAAGAUAAAUAUAUAUAUAUAUAUAGCUGCUGUACUGAUAUCAUGGAUUAAGUGUUGAGAAAUAAAAUUCAUUAAGCAUUUCCAGAACUCUUGAUUUUCUUUCUCAGUAACCAAGCAACUUCAAUCACAUUUUUUUUUUCCAACAAUGAGUUCUCAAACCACUCAGGUAUCAUUUUCAGACAUUCUUGGCCUUGUACUCACCAUCAAAAUGGAUUGGUUGAGAGAAAACAUAGGCAUAUUGAUGGUUGUCGAAGCCAGCAAAAAUAAACACCUACUCUAAAUAAAUUGUGUAUAGUAAUUGAGCAGGGUCGUGUCCACGAAAAUCGGUAAUUAUUUAAAUCUUUUUAAAAUGUAAAAUACAAAAUGGGGGAAUUGUUGACGAUAAUAAAAAUCAAAUUAAAAUAACAAGAAUGCAAAUUAAAGUUGUAAUCCAAAUUGGAGAAAGCUCUGGUUGAAGGAAUUAACUCAGCUUGAUUCGACUACUGAUCAUUGAUUCAAAUAAAUAUUAUUACUACUUAUGAAUAGACCGGUUAUAGCUACUGAGACCCUCUAAUAGCCAGUCUCUCCUUAACUAGCCGAUAACCAAGGUACGACCUUUGGUUAUUUCCCUAAUCAAUAGACAACCCUAGAUACGAUCAUAAGAUUUAAUCAAUUGACAGUCUGAAAAACCAGAGAGACCCAAAUCCUAAUCAACAAACACAUACGAUGGUUCAUUUAAAUUAGAUUGUUUAUUCUCACAACACAACUCUCUGCUAUGUUAUUUGUCACAAACAUUAAAAUUUUCAUACGAUGAAUCCUUUAAUUGACAUUAGAUUAAGUUGAUAAUUAAAUAGUGGCCAAUUAUCUAAUUAACAAAAAUAAUCAUGAUAAUAAUUCAGAGAAUAAACAAAUACCCAAAAAGUAAUAAAACAAUUAAAGCAUAAGAAAGAUCUCACAGUAGUGAUGAAUCAAAGCUUCAUUAACCUUCAACCAGAAUAAUAAGUUUAGUUCUUCAUAGAGAGAAGAGAAAAAUUUAGAUCUAGGGUUUUCUCUUUUCCCCAAUAAGUCCCUUUUUUCACAAUAGAUUCCUCCCUUAAAUACUCUCUCUCUCUUCUCCUCUAGAAUUCUAUUUAAAAUAAAUACUAAUAUCUGAAAUAUUAAAUUCGUAAUUACAAAAAUAACCAAAAAUACAAAACACGUUAAACUAAAAACUGCAGGUCCGUAGUUGACAGCACAAGCCCACGCCUUAUCAACAAAGUUCUUCUGACGCUCAUAAUUUCUCCAAGAGAACAAUAAUCCUUAAACAUCAUCUUGUAGCUCAAUUUUAUCACCAAUCAAUAGAAUUGCACCUACAAAAGUAAAACACAAGUAAAUCACUAUUAUUAAGUGCAAAACAUCGAUAUUAAGGGAAGUAAACAAUGCAAAACUAGUGCAUAAAUUGCACUCUAACAAUUAAGUUUGACUCUGUUGGCUCAAGCUCAACUUCCUUUUAAAUUCUGGUGGGAUGCAUUCCAUACUGCUCUAUAUCACAUCAAUAGAUUACCAUCUUCUGUUUUCAAACUUUCGACCCCAUAUGAGAAGAUAUUUAAGCACAAACCUGAUUAUGAUUUUCUCAAAUGUUUUGGUUGUAUUUGUUAUCCUUACUUGAGAGACUAUAACAAACAUAAGUUUGCCUACCAUUCCAGUAAGUGUAUAUUCAUUGGUUAUAGUCCUUCACAAAAGGGUUAUAAAUGCUUACAUUCUUCAGGUCAUGUCUAUGUGGCAUGACAUGUUAUCUUUGAUGAGUCAACCUUUCCUUAUGCUACUGAAUCUGUUUUUCAUAGUCACACAAAUUCUGAUUCUCAUUCUUCAAACUUAUUUACUCCACAGCAUGUCUAUUAUCUUUCUACUUUACCUGUCAUACCAGUAUUUCUAAAUAACAACACUGAUAAUCUAAACUCUACAAAACUAAAAUGCCAGCUUUUUGGUGUUAGCGAUAGGAAACAACUUACCACAACCAUUAAUUAUCCAUAAUUUCAUUGUUUAUCCUCAGUUUUCUUCAUAAAUGUUACAGCAUUCUUCAUGAGAAAGUGCAAGGGCAUCUCAAAAGUUCUGAAAUAAUACCUCAAUUCUAUUGCAAAAAUAAAUAAUCUCAAACAAGAACCAAUAAUCAUAUUUCGUUACUGUCAAACACAAUGCAUCUGAGCAAAACAUUGGAAGCCAACACCAGAAUACAUAUGAAUAAACAAUUAAAGAUAGAGAAAAAAGGCUUAAACCUUGGGGGAAAAAAGUGAAAAAACAUGAAAGACAAAUUACACAUGUGCAGUAACCAUCGAACUUAUCAGUGACAGCUGCAUCCAUUACAUUGCUCCAACAACACAAUGGCAAACCACCAGUUUCAAAUUGAGGAUAGCUCUCGAGAAUGAGAAAGUGUCCAAAACGUCAUAAAUAGACAUGUUCCUAUUGUGCAUAAUUUACAUUAUAGGCAAAUAUUCUUAUACCAUCAAAGGCAAAACAUGACACUAACAAUUGGGAAUCCACUCCCCCCUUUUCCUUUUUUACCCUCAUAAUUAAAAUAAAUAAAUAAUAUUUAAUAAAAUAAAUAAUAUCAUAUUUAUUAAAAAUAAUAAUUAUAAACAUAUUUAUUUUAUUAAAUUUAAUAAAAUAAAAAUAAAUAAAUAUUAUAUUUAAAUUAAUAAUAUUAAACAUUAUUUUAAUAAAUAUUAAUUAAUUAUUUAAUUAAUAAUAAUAAAUAUUUUAUUCUAAGAAAAUAUUAAUUUUGUACUAUAUUAUCAAUAAUAAUGUUUCAUUUGUGUUGCUAUUAUUAAUAAUUUUUAUUCACAUAAUUUAAAUUAAAAUUAAUAAAAAAUUAUGAUUUACAUAAUUAAGAAUAUUAUUAAUUAUUAUUAAUUUAUAAAUAUAAUAAAAUAUUUAUUUUAUUUUUCAAAUAUAUUUUUUAUUAAUUUUGUAAUUACAAAUUAUAAUUCUUUAAAUAAGGGUAAAAUUGUAAUUUAAAACUAUUUACUUCCAAUCCAAGACAAUGUAAACACAUAAAUUGGAUUCUGGUUUCAAUUCCAUUCUCUCAUUCCAUUGUAAGUAAACAACCUACUCCAACUCCCACUCCAAACUCCCAAUCUUAGGAUUCCCACUCCUCAGGAUUCCCACUCCAAUCCAAAAUGUAAACGCAUAUAAAAGUAUUUUGAGCAUUACUGGUCAUUGUCUUUCUAUGAGCCACUUAUUUUGAGCAUUAGCGACCUUAUAAGGAAUCAUGCCUUUUCAGGAUCGUUUUCUUUCAUUUCCCUAUUGUCGUAGUUAAUUAAAUAAAGAACGAACAGCUGAACUUGGUCUAUUUCGAGGAAGACCAAGGCUUCCAAUACUAGAGGAACUUUGAAGAAAAUUAAUUGGAAGCCUUCAUUCAUCUUUGAAGAAAAUUACGUGCCAACGUAACCAAGGCUUUUAUUCAUCUUCGGACUAUGAAUUUAUACAAAGACAUUAACAGAAAAUAACAAAGACACAGCUAAAUGAUAGCAGCAAGUGCUGAUUUAGUGAACCACUUUUACAAGUAAAUAAAAAGUAAAUAUUUAUUUUGACUAUAACAACAACUACCCUCUUGAAUAGGACUCUACAGCAGCCACGUGACAACUAAUUUUUCCAUAAUAUUAUUAUUAGUAGAAGUAGAUUUUCAAACUAGUCUUGAUAGAUUUCAAAGUUGUAUUAUCAAUGUAUAAGUAUCUAGAUUGUAACUAUAUUUUUAAAAAUAAAAUAUUUUAAUUAUUGCACAGUAAAUGUAGAAGAAUAUCUGUAAAAUAAUAUUAUUAGGACUAAGAAAAAAUAUUAUUUCAGAUACGUUAUUUAUUUAUUAUUGAAUUAAUAAUUUAUUAAUUUAUUGAUAAAUGAAUAUUUAUUAAUUUAAAGAAAGACUUUUUUGGUUUUAUGAAGAGUUUGUUUGGUACAUGCACACACUUAUAAAGAAACAUAAAAAGUGCUUCCUCAAGUCAAUGGUAUUUGCUCUAAUCGCUACGAUUCAUAAUAAUAUAGCUUAGUUAGGAAAUUUGUAAUUAUAAUAUGAUUCUUUUAAUACAACUUUUCAAGUAGAGCUUAUUUAAGUAGAGAUUUUGUUAAUAGAGGUAUUAUAAAUAAAGAUUCCACUAAAAAAAAUUUAGUUGUUUGAUUAUAAUGUCCAAAUUGAUGAACUUUUAUUCUUUUGUUAACAUCUGUUUGUUUUACUUAAUAAUAAAAGUUUAGUUUACAAUUACACCGGUAUCAAAUCAGCAGAGCAUUGUUGUUUUACUUUAUAAAAGCAUCGGCAAGAGUUUUCGAUUGUUGCAACUUGCAAUGCACGCGGUGAGAGAAAAUGAGAAUCUUGUUUAAUUGUCAAUAAUGACAAACCUAAUCCUUUCAUUAGGAGUAAUUUAAUAAUCGUUUGUUAUAAUUGAAUAGGUAUAAAGAAAGGACAAUUCUAUUCAUAGAUUCGACUUAUUUUUUUGUUUAAAGUAAGUAAUCAUUCAACCAUCUUCAUUUGCCUCUGGCCAAUGCCCUAGUAGAUUAGUUGAAGCGUUAAUUACUUAAUUCAGAUAAUUACAACGUCCUUUUCGCUAAUUAAUUAUGAUUAUGUACAUUUUCAUAUAGCAAGUGGCAUUGUAGAUAUAAACUAAGUUGCUAUUUCAAUACGUUAAUCAAGUGAUUCUCCUCAUUGUCAUCAGCGUCAUACCCUCUAGGAAAAUAGCUCAAUUGUUUCCAUGCAUUGAUUUUCAUUGGUAUGUGAUUUCAGAUUUCUUAUGAAAUUCUUUUGAGCUUUCCUUAUUAAUUGAUUUUCAAUUAACUUGUGAACGAUUUUAUACCCUCUCUUUUUUUUUUUUUUAAGUACUCUAUUGAAAGCCAAAGUUCCUUUGGCCAGUUAAUUUAGAAGUGAAGGAAAGAAUAAAGUUAGUCCUCGACGUCUUUUGAAAUUAGAAAUACAUUUUGAAUGCUUUAAUAGAUGCAGAGCAAACUGGCUCGAUAUCUAACUAUUUUAAGAGCUAAAAUCAUUUAAUAGAAGUUGUAGCAUUAAAAAAAAAAAAAACUGGCUUGAUAUCCAAUUUUGUUAUUGAAUAUGUCUCAUGUGAGAGUAAAAAAAAACUGGCUUGAUAUCCAAAAUUUAAAGGUAACUCCUUGAAUUUGAUUGAAAAAUUAUUGAGACGGACAAGUUUGGACCAUUGUUCGAGACUGAAACUACACAUCAGUCUUAGAAAAUUGUAAUUUUGUUGGCUUAUCAUGAUUUUGAUCGCCUCACAUUGAUUUUCCUAUGGCGUCUCUGUAGAGUGGCUAUGCUUACAUUUUUAGGUAUUUAAUUCUAAAAAUUAACUUAUUAGAUGGAAGGAACAAUUCUACCUGUAAAUCCAAGUGGCUUCCCUUUACCAACUCAUACAAGACACAACAAUAAUCUUCUUCGGAAAAAACCACCGUCGGAGGGCUAUUUUCGUUCAACAUAUAUGAGUUGUUCCGCCACCAUAUUUUAAGGGUUUGCUUCUAAUACAACUUGGGGGAGCUAGGGCUAAGAUUUCUAAGUAUCAACAUAAAAACCUCACCUAUUGGAUAGAAGGACCAAUCCUACUUAUAAGUCUAAAUGACUAAUUUUUGAGAACACAACUCAACAGACCAAUAUAAACUUUUGACGUCCCAUUUUAUUACUUUCCAGUGCUUUUACUUUUGCUGUCUAUAGCCCUACUAUUCUAUUAAGCAGAAAAUAUUUCAAGGCACUCUCGGUCCAGUAGAUAACUUUGGUAUUUAUUAUCUAUUUUCUUUCCAUUUUAUGUAUACCCCGAUCUUUACCUCUGAUUGGUUGUAGAUUCUUUUGUUGCUUUGGGGUUAGGGGAUGGUUUUCAUAACUAUUCAGUUGAUCAAUGCAGAAAAUCACCUUCAAGAAAUGAUAAAGGAUUGUUAGUUCUAUCUGGCAAACAACAUUAAUAUGAAGGAUGGUGGUUGUUCUGUUCAAGAGUUUAUAAUGACAUAAUUCUACUUUGGUCUUUUAAAAAAAGUAAUUUAGAAACGAGGAGUAUGUGAGUGAUGAUUUUUACAAAAUAAAUUACAUGCGUAGUGAUGAUUUUGGCACAUGAAAAUGAAAAAAGAAAUAUAAAUUGUGAAUAAUAAUUGAAGAACCUGCUAUUGGUAUAUUGAGUAAUCAAGGACUUCAAUAUUCGGACGAUAUAAGCAACACAAUCAAAUAUUAGUUGGAAGGCAUAGCAAAAUUAGAAUGUAGAACAAACUGGGUAUUGAUAAAUGGAUGGUUUUGGAAGAAUUGAAAAUGAUGGCAUAAGUAAACCAAAGUUUAGAGAAAAGAGAAAGAGCAUUUGAACUUUACUUGUAAGAAAAGGCAAAUAUCUUGGUUCAAGAAAAGAUAAGAGAUAUCAAACUAGCAAUAGGAAAAAGGAGGAAGGUUAAGACAGCAUCUUAACAAAAGCUAAAGAAAAGAAAAACUUAGUUCAAGCAAAGAACAAUGUGCUAAUGUCGUGUAAUUUUGUUUAAUUUCUUUUUCUUCUCACAUUUUCCAGGGCUUAAAUAAUACAAUAUACAUUUUCAAGCAAAGAACAAUAUGCAAUUGCAGUACUUCUGAGCACACAACAACAAAUAAAUAAUACAAUAUACAUAGCCAGUAAAUUAAAAAUAUAUAUAUUAUUCAAGUUUGUGGACAAUACUGUAGCCAUGGCGUCGUCGAAAUCUACUGACAGCUGAAACAAAGAAAGAAUGGAUGAAUGCUGGAUCACAGUUGAAAUUGAAGGUCUGGUAGGUGAUGUUUCCCUCUCUUUUUUUACCUAAACAAAUACAAGAAAAUCAGAAUCACAAAUGAAAAUCUGCUAUUACACUGUUCUUACUUAUUAAAAUACAGAGGUUUCUUUGUUUCUCUGCAGCAAUGUCCAUGGCUAUUAGAAACAAGAACAAUUAGACCAGCAUUUGCAAGAAUCCUUUAAGGUAUUACUGCAGAUAUAAAUCGACUGAGGAAAUGGAAAAAUUGAAUACCGAAUUAGGCAAGUUAACUGAAGAUUGAGUUAUCAUAGAAGAAUAAAACUCAUCCAAUUCAAUCCAUCAAAUUCCACAAGGAUACAACUGGAUGUCAUACUGCUGCUCCAUAUCCUCAAGAGCCCGUAGAUUUUGCCUCAACUCUGGCUGAGGCCAAUGUAAGUCCAAUUUGCAAAAGCUCUUUAUGCACCAUAGCUCUUCAGGAAGCUUUCUCAAGUAAGCACAAGGGUUGACAAUUAUGCUCCCAAGUUUUGGCAUUGCUCCAGCCCCUAUCGUCCACUCCUCUAGCAAAUAAAUUGAUUUCAGGUGCAAUACCUUGAGCUCCGGGAAACCACAAGAGCAAACACAAGCCAGUUUUCUUCCUGAAUAUGAGUUCUGCUUCAAUUUCAGCACUUGAAGGUGUGGAAGCUUGUCUAGUGUUAGCAUGGUAUCCUCCAAUAACUCAGUAUUUGAUAAGCUUAGAUGGAUCAGACUUGGAGAAGCUGGUAUUUAGACAGGGCCGUCCGAGAGAGCUACCACCUCUUGGUUUCGUUCACCAGCUUCAAGCAUUCAAGUUUGUGUAGUUCGCAUAGGCUUUUGGAAACCCCAGAACGAUAAUAACUCAAACCUCCAGAUACUAAGAGUUUGAAAAUGAGGUAGUCUGCCUGUUAAAGUAGCUCACUAUGCUGAACGAAAGAAGGAGAAAGCUAAGCUGAAGAAAAUACAGGGCAAGAGUAUUAGCUGUGCCAGCUCAACUGACAGCUCAGCAAAAUCAGUUAAAUUUUGUUACAAGCUCCCUGUGCAUUGUGCUGAAGAUUAGUUAGUUUAAUAAUGAUUAGUUUUAGAUUAGUUAAAAUGUAAUCAUGAUUAAGAUAAAUAAAUAAAUAUAUAUAUAGCUGCUGUACUGAUAGGGCAUCUCAAAAGUUCUGAAAUAAUACCUCAAUUCUAUGGCAAAAAUAAAUAAUCUCAAACAAGAACCAAUAAUCAUAUUUCGUUACUGUCAAACACAAUGCAUCUAAGCAAAACAUUGGAAGCCAACACCAGAAUACAUAUGAAUAAACAAUUAAAGAUAGAGAAAAAAGGCUUAAACCUUGGGGGAAAAAAGUGAAAAAACAUGAAAGACAAAUUACACAUGUGCAGUAACCAUCGAACUUAUCAGUGACAGCUGCAUCCAUUACAUUGCUCCAACAACACAAUGGCAAACCACCAGUUUCAAAUUGAGGAUAGCUAUCGAGAAUGAGAAAGUGUCCAAAACGUCAUAAAUAGACAUGUUCCUAUUGUGCAUAAUUUACAUUAUAGGCAAAUAUUCUUACACCAUCAAAGGCAAAACAUGACACUAACAAUUGAUCCCCCCCCAAAACCAAAAAAAAGGAAAAAACAAUACAGAAAAGAUUGAAACAGAUAAGGCUACACUGAGCACAGGAUGCCAUGAAACAUAAUCCAGGAACCAAAUUAAUAAAAAAGGAAGCCAAACCAUUAUUUAACAAUCUGUUUUGUAUUUGGGAAAGUCUGAUAAAAUCUACUUAGGGAUAAUUAGAGAACCUCAACUAUUAAUCACACCUCAUAAAUGAACUAACAUUAACCAUCUACCAUCCCCACGUCACACAAACAUUCUCUAUACUUCUGAACCUAAUCCAUCUUCAAUUGGGGUUUUUUUUUUUUUUUUUGGGUGGCGGGGGGGGGGAGCUAUCAAUUUUCUAAGCUUGCUUAGCUUCUGUGUGGGAUUGAAAUGCUGAUUUCAAAUCACUAACAGUAAAAUUGGAAGCUCAUGAAAAAACAGUUUUAUCUCAAAAUUACAUCUCGAUAUAAAUUCUCUUUUCAUUUCCUUCAACUUUCUAAUUAAGCUUAAAAAAUGUACCUUCAACCACAAAGGGGUUUAAAAUUUAAAAUAUAAAAAAUAAAUUCAGAUAACAAUAAUUAAUUUAAUUAAAAAUAUAAAUAGAGUUACAGAGAAAGAGAAAUUAGAGAAAGACCUAAUGUUGAGUCCUUUGGCGCAUGUCUCUUCAUAGGUCCGAACCAUUUCUUCGGGCGUGGGUUACGGCCGAGAUUGGAUAAUGAUGGAGGAGGAGAAGAUUAGCGAUGACGACGCCGAUGAAAUGGAAGGGUUUACCAGAGGAGUGGAUGCGAAGAGUGCAGGGACGGCCGCAGAGAGAGAGCA